rnacentral:lncRNA from 1 species
UGUCUCACUUUUGGAGGAGUCUGCAGGACGCCUUAGGCACCCGAUUGGAUUUCAGUACAGCAUUCCACCCGCAGAGUGAUGGACAGUCGGAGCGCACUAUACAGACCUUAGAGGAUAUGCUCCGGGCAUGUGUGAUAGACUUUCAGGGAGGAUGGUCACAGCAUCUACCUAUGGCGGAGUUUGCUUAUAACAACAGUUAUCAAGCAAGCAUCAAGAUGGCGCCCUUCGAAGCACUUUAUGGAAGGAAGUGUAGAUCGCCGCUUCAUUGGAGUGAAGUGGGCGAGAGACUGGCUUUAGGCCCUGAUGUGCUCCGGAAAGCUGAGGACAGAGUACGCAUUGCUCGGGAGCGACUUUUGGUAGCGCAGAGCAGGCAGAGGAGCUAUGCUGACCGACGGCGGCGAGACUUGGAGUUCCAAGUUGGAGACCAUGUUUUCUUAAAGGUCUCGCCGACUAGAGGAAUAAAGAGAUUUAGGAUUCGGGGAAAGUUGAGUCCCCGUUUCAUUGGACCGUAUGAGAUUUUGGAGCGUGUAGGCCCGGUAGCGUAUAGACUUGCUCUACUACCGAGCCUAUCGGGUGUACACGAUGUCUUUCAUGUAUCGGUCCUCCGGAGGUACAUUCACGAUCCAGCUCACAUCUUGGAUGCUAUACCAGUGGAGCUGCAUGAGGAUUUGAGCUUCGAGGAGCAACCUGUGAAGAUUCUAGCUCGCGAAGUGAAGAAGCCGCGGAAUCGGGACAUUCCGUAUGUGAAGGUUCUUUGGAGCAACCACGGGGAGCGAUAGGCUACGUGGGAGCUGGAGAGCGCUUUGCAAGAGCGCUACCCUCACCUUUUUCAGGUGGAGUCUUGAGGUACGUUGCAUUUUGAGUUUCGCGGACGAAAGUCCUUUUUAGGAGAGGUGAAUGUAACACACUGGACCUUUGCAAAUUGUGAGGUUCGAGUGUUUGAUCUGUGUGUCGAGCUUUUUCAGACUUUCUGGAAGGUCGUAGAUAGUGUUCCGACCUAUAGCUCGCAUCCCGAGGAUUGUGGUUUUAAGCUGGUACCAAACGCCCAAAAAGAUUGGACCUUGGUCAGCUCUCGGGUAGCCUGCAGCAGAGCUUGUACCGGAACAAGACCGGUCUUGUACCGGUGCAAGGUUGAUGGUUGUACUGGUACAGCCAUCGGGUUUGUACCGGUACAGAGCCGCAGACCCCGCAACCCGAGCCUCGGGUUUGCAUUUUCGUGGGCCUUGUACCGGUACAAGGGCCCGUGUACCGGUACAAGGUGGCAGAUUUUGAGCAGUUUGAUACUGCAGGGGGUUUUUCGCGAUUGUAGCACUUCUAUAAGUGCACCCCACGCCGCUUAGGGCCUUCCCUGUGCAGAGACCAGCAGGAGUUGAGGUAGGAGGAGCUCUCUCUCCCUUCCCUUGCAUUUUUACUCCUUUUGUUUGGUUUUUAUGUGGUUUUCUCUCCUCUAUUUGCAUCUUGGUGGCUUCUCCACCAUUGUUGAUGGCUUAGAGCUUGGAGAGGAGCUAGUGGCUGCGGAGAUCUUCAACAUCACUUGGAGUGGAGCUAAGUUUGGAGCUUCUUGAGAGGUUAGAGACUUGAUUUCUCCCUUUGAUCCUUGAUUUGAGGUUUUUGUGAGAUCAAACCCUAGAAAUGAAAAUUUAGGGUUUAUUUGGGCAUUUUCGUUUUAGGGCAUUUGGAGGGUUGAUUCCUUGGAUUAGAACCUUCCUCUAGAUUGGAUUGGAAGGGUUCUAGCCUCCUUUUUGAGCUUGUGAAGAGAUUUUCCAUAAGAGGUGUGUUUUUGCCCUUAGUAAGAGAUGGUUAAUGUUUGAGCUAUUAGUUGUUCGUUUCAUUCGAGUAACCCUUGUUCCUACAUCCUUAGGGUAUUAGGAGACUAGAGGAUACCCUCGUUGGAGCAAACGAGGAGUUUCGUUGUCAUCGGUGGGUUUGGCUUCUUUGACAUAAGGGGAAAAAUGCCCCCUGCGUGGUUAAACGUUUUCGUAUACUAUAAAUGCAUGCAUAUUUAUGUUGAGUAGAAUUAUUAUGAUUUUUGGAUGCUUAAAACGCCACCAUUAUGUGUAAUGAAAAUUUUACUCUAUGUAGUAGAGCCAUAUGAAAGACAUGCAUGCAUGAGCUAUGUAAUCUGUAAUUGCAACUUGGAAAUAUGUCUCUCAAGUGGAAAAAGGACUAGAAUCAUGUAUUCUUGCACAUAUUUGUCACGCUAUGACUUAGUGAGCAAAAGUGUCAUAAAGGGGCACUUGAACUAGAAAACUAUGAAAUUGCAACUUAGAGAUAUGAUUAUAGGCCAUUGUACAUCUGCUAUAUUCCAUGUUAGAGACAUGAUGACAUAGAGAUAGGUCAUUGAGAUACUUGAUAUAUUCCAUGUUGUUAGACAUGAGGACUUGGUACUUGAGACAGAUCAUUGCUUGCUUGCCAUUGUGCUCAUUCGCACAUGCUUGUGAGGGCCGCUCCCUACAAGCUGGCACUCCGGAGAUAGCCAUCGCGACAUAUGCUCGCCCGUGCGGAAUUGGGCGCCGAAGUGGAUUGCCGUGGGGGAGGCUCAUCCCUAGAGUGGGGAUGUUGACUACCACGGGGCCAUUAGGCACGACGCAGGCCAGACAGCCUUUGGGUGGGUCUUAUAUGAUUGGGAUUUGGUGACAGAACAUGCUACGUAAACUUCAUAACUGUUAAAGUGGACUUGGACUAGAAUAGUAAACAAUGACAUCUUUAUUAUCACAUUGUGGACUUUGGGUAGUUGCAUAUUCAUGCAUUACAUGUUGGGCAUUCAUGUGUAUAUAUAUCUAGUAGUUGCUUUCUUACUUAUGCAAAUCAUGCUAAGUAGAGAUAUCAUGAUUAUUGGGUACUCGUUUAUUUAUUUAUUUACAGUGCAUUUAUCGCUUUUGUUAUAGUUGUACACUGACCCUCUUUUAUAGUUUCGGGCCUAGUGGUGCAUUUCACUGAAGUCAGUAAUUGCCCACUGGGAACUAUUAUUUAAUAGUUCUCACGCCCUGUUUUUAUGUUUUCCUUUCAGAGCCUUCGGCACCCGCGGAGGCACGGGAUCGCGGCAAGGGUGUCGCUUAGCUAGCUCGUGGAGAGUUUUUUUGCGCUAGGUGGUUACUCCUCAUUUUUGUAUUUUGAGAAAGGGAGAGGUUUUGUACCAUGUAUAGAGAGACCACCUUGUACUUCAUUUAGCACUUGUUAUGGGAUUCCUAUUGUACUUACACUGUGUUUUUAUUUCGUGGAUUUUCAGCUUUAUGUCUUUUUUCUUGUUAUAGAACUAGUUGUACAAUGCUCUGAUAUCACUAGAUCUCUUUGUAUUAUUGUUUAUUUAUCGAAAUUUUGUAGACGCCUUAUAUGUUUUAGACGUAUGGCGGGUCUGGACGCGCGCCGGGUAGGCUUCCGCUGAGCCCCGGGGCGUGACAGAAACCAUUUGGGUGGUCUAAUUAAAGUUCGGUAAGAAAGAGAAGCCCAGCUUAACGAGUCUCAAAAUAACUGUUUAGUUAUUCUAACUAAAUUUCAAUUUGGGCACUCUAUCUUUUGGUACUGACUUUAUUGCUAUUUUUCGCACGUACCAAAAAAGCAUGGCGGGAUGGCCGGCCUUUUGCCAAUUCCUGCAGCUAUCGGUUGUUACGAAUAUGGGUUUAACAUUUAAAGAAUGUGCAUCAAAUGUUUGGCAAAAAGGUUGUGUUCUUGGUGUCUGAGUUAGAUUUAUCUUGGGUACUUAACUUUCGUUACGAUAGUUUGGGUUAGAAGCAACACUUAGUGAAAGCUAAACAAAAUGUGAAUCAUAGCAUUAUGAAAGUAGUGUCGCAAAAGGAAAGGAUACCAUGUGGGUUUAAAUGGUUUCCUGAGCAACGAUAAUACAAAAUUUAAAAAAUAGGCCAAGUUUGAUGGCCUUAGGACAAGACUUGCACCGAUUGUUGGCUGAAAAAAUGUGCAUUGAAUAUGCGACGAAAAGAAUGAAAGCGUUCUUUCUAUAUGAGCUGAUAUGAUAUUUUGGAAUCAUUUGAAUCCAUUGAUUAUCCAUUUUUUUUUUGUCGCUACUUUCAUAAUGUUUUUUAUUUAUAUUUCUUCUAGCUUGGUUUCUGUUGAUUUCAUUGUUUCGUUCUUUGUGUUCACUGAAUAUUGCUUGUAAGCGAGCAAAAGUUGUGGGGCCAUUUAACUGUUCUAAAGUGUACUUAUGCUUUUUACCUAUUGCUGUUGUUGAUUAUAUAAAAUUUUGUGUUCUCUAUUUUUUACUACUGACUUUGUUACUAAUGCUUAGCAAGCUUUGUUUAUUUCAUUAAGAAAUAAACUUAGCUGGAAAUGUGAAUCAUCUAGGAUUCGAACUUGAGACCUCGGGUACCAACCACCAAGCCCUUCACCACUUGCUCUAGUGACUUAUUUGUUUGUUAUUUCUUAUAUCUUAGUAGUUUGAAUUUUUUUCUAUUUUGUUUUUUUUGUGUGGACUCAAAUAGUUUUAUGGGUGGUACUGAUAGAGAAUUAAACAAUAGGGCAGGUUUGAUGGCCUCGGGGCAACUCUUGCCUCUAUUGUUGGCUGAAAAAAUGGUCAUCAAUAGGGCAUGUUUGAUGGUCUCGCGGCAAAUCUUGCACCUAUUGCUCGCUGAAAAAAAAAACCCAUCAACUGUGCGGGAAAAAAAAGAGAGAGAGAAAGUGCUUUUGCUAUUUGACCUCAUCUGAUUUUUUUUAAACCAUUUGAGCCCACCCAUCGCCCAUUUUUUUUUGUGGCACUACUUUUGUACUUUUUCUGGGGGAGGGCCUCAACUUUCUUAAUUUUUUUAUCUGCAUAUCUUUUAGUGUUAUUUCUUUUUAUUUCAUUCAUCGAACCUCAAUGUUUGGUCAAUUUUCCUUACAUGUUUAGACUCAAUGGUCCGACUUCUAUACAGUUAGAGAAGACCCACGCUUGAAAGAGAAAAUCAAGAUUACUAACUUCGACCACAUGCAUGAUGAAGAAAAUACUUAAACAGUUUCUUCCCUUCAAUUACACCCGCACUUUGUAUCAAUAAAUCGAAAUUUUAAGUCAUGGGAGUUGUCGAUAUUUUAUUAAAUCAGGUGGGACUUGAGUUGAAUCAUCAGAUCGUACUACUUUCUAAAUUCUAUGCACGUCGCGAAGAUGUUCGCAUUGAUAUGGAGGGCGAGAUCUUUCCGGUGGAAGCGAAUGGAGCGGACACAAAAUAAUUAGGAUUAAAAUUAUGUUUUGUUAAUUUUCAGAAAUUUAUUUUUGGUAAUUUUGUUAUAAUGAUUUUUUCAGAUUUUAGAAUGUUUUUAUAUGGAAUAAUUUUGAAAAUUUGGGAAUAUGGUUUUACAAGUUUUAAAGUAAAACUAGGAUUAGAUAUAUUUGUAUUAAUAAAUUUGUUAAAAUCUUGAUAUUUGAUUUGGAGGAGGAUUUGAAUUUCUUAAUUUUAUUAUAAAUAGGAUCCAAACUUUUUGUAGAAGCAAAUUUUGAAGUUUACUAAUAUUUUUAUUUACUCUGGGAAGACAUUGUUUAUUCUUUUUUAAUCCUGGUUUUCUAAUUGAAUAUCACUUGAGUUUUUGGCUCAUAUAAUUCUUUGUAUUUGAUUAAUUAGGUUCUUUUUCUUCUACAAAUUCAGAUUGUCUGUCCAAAUUUGUUCCCAAGGUAUUGAAUUAUAAUUCUACAAAUUCAUAUAAUUCUUUUUCUCUGUUGAAAUUUUUUUCUCCUCCUUAAUUUGUCAAAUUUUAAGCAAUACUUAUAAUUUUAUGAAUUGAAAACUAGAAAGACCUCUCCGGCAUCCCAUGGGGCAAGUGGGGCCCACCAGAAAAAGUGGCGGGGCUCACCUGCCCAUCUUGCACGACCGUUGACUAAGAAGGAGAGAGAGAGAGAGAGAGAGAGAGCAGUAGACCUCUCUGUCUCUCUCUUUCAUCUAUAUAUAUCAUAUUAUAUUAUAUAUAUAGUAUGAUGAGUAGUAUAUAUAUAUAUAUAUAUAUAUAUAUAUUAUGAUAAAUACUGUUGAGGACUAUGAUACUUUUACAAGUAUCACUGCUAUUAGGUUUUAAGGCCAUUGGAUCUGUUUGAUUAUUAAUGGCGGCCCUUGGAGUUAAACCGCAUUCCAGCUACGAAGCCAGCCUACACACAGUCGAUCUCCAACCUCCAUCUCUCCUCCAAGGGCUAAAAACACUACACAGUAUCACCCCAUGAUACUUUACAAGUAUUCUCCCUACAUCUAUAUAUAUAUAUAUAUAUAAUAUAUAUAUAUAUAUAAUAUAAUGGAGAGAGAGGAGAGAGAGAGAGAGAGAGAGAGUGUUUUGGUUGGGUAUGCUUAUGGAAGCACGGAGGCCUCCGUGCUUUAAGUUGUUUUCGAUGUUAGACUUCGAAUGACGAUUGACUUUCCGUUAAAGUGAUUACUGAGUAUUUGAAGUACCUAGAAAAUAAUUUGCGAUUUUUCGAUAUCAAUUUGCCUAGUGAUUCGAAGGGGCUCAAAAUCAAUAAUUUAAUGGCCGUUGGUGAGCCGGUUGCAAGUUUAACCGGUCGUAGAAAUAUCCAAACUACGUGAAAUUUUAAUAGAAAUCUUUAUACUAUAUAAAAUAAGAUCAAUAUCUUUGAUCUAAAUUUUUAAUGUCAUAUCAUUACAUUUUGUGAGAUUUUUUAUUUUCCAGCCGUUAAUUUGAGCCCCUUCGAUCACUACGCAAAUGAUUAUCGAAAAAUCGCAAAAUUAUUUUCUAGGUAUUCAACAUACUCUAGAUCAAGUCUAACGGAGCCGAUCGUGAUUCGCAAGUCCAACAUCAAAAACAACUUGAAAGCACGGAGGCCUUCCCGUACUUCCAUAAGCAUACUAGCCGCACUUAAUAUAUAUAUAUAUAUAUAUAUAUAUAAUUAUAUAUAUAUAUAUAUAUAUAUAUAUAUUAUAAUUUAUUUUAUUUUUAUUUAAAUAUGUUGUUAUAUAAUAUUUUAUUUAUAAAUAUAUAAUAAUUUAUUUUCAAAAUCGAUAAAAAUAGUGUUUUUUUUCAAUUAAUUUUUUAUUUUUGUAUACUUUAGAGACCAAAAAUAGUACUUUAGUUUUCUUUUACCUAUCAAUUUUGGCCCCUAAAAUGUGCAAAAUUUUCACUUUAGUCUCCAAAUAUAAAAAUUCAAAAUUUUAAAUUUAAAUCCAGAAUUAAUCUUAAAAUUAAAAUUUUGAACUAAUUAGUAAUUAGAAUUUUGAAUUAUAAUUUGAAUUCAAAAUUUAAAUUGAAUUUUAAAUUAAAUCUAAAUUUUGAUUUCAAACUUAAAUUUUUAAAAUUUUGAUUUCAAACUUAAAUUUUGUAAAUUUUGAUUUCAAAUUUUAAUUUUUUUGUUUUGAUUUUGAUCUUUGAAUUUGCAUUCAAAAUUAAAAUUUUAUUUUAAAGUGAUAUUAAUCGCUAUAAUAAUUUACUAUUGUAUUUUAUCUUUCCGCCGCAUCGAACUUAUUAAUCGGUAACCCUUACCGAUUAGAAGCAUUAAUAUUUAAAAAUAUUAAUGCAUAAUAGGAAAAAAAAAGUGAUGUUAAUAGUUAUAAUAAUUUACUGUUGUAUUGUCUUCCCGCCACAUCGCGCGGGUCCGUAACUAGUACACAAUCAAAGUAGAGCUUUAUGAAUCAGACAUGUAGAUAGCGCAUCAUGCUCCCUACUUCCCCAUGAAUGAGCACAAGGGCACUAAAUUCAAAUAUUAUCAAUAUGACACACAAUUGCUAAUGUGAUAUGCCGCAAUGUGCCCAAAAGGAGAUUAUAUCAACUUCAACAAGAAUUAAACAUGUUAAAUUUAGUGGCAUAAUUGUAACACUUCGUACCUUCAUUUAUUUUAUUUGAAUAACAAUUCCUUUGAAAUUUGAAUUUUUUCGUAAAUAUUAACAGUUUAGAAGCUUGGUAGCAUUUAAAUCUCUAAUUUCAAUUUCCUCGAUUACUAGUGUCACCCAGCCACUCCCUCUCUCGUGCCGUACAUCCCCGACAACGACUCGUCACCCCUCGCGCGUCGCGCCUCACCCUCGCAUGCAGAUGCACUCGCGAGACCCCGUUUGUGUUAGGGAAAAAUCGCAACGAAAUUCGAUUGUCACUAAUUCUAACUAAUUUUGUAAUAAAAAUAAAUAUAUUUAACUUACAGAUAAUUGCUAAAUUCUAAAAUAUUGUGAAAGAAGAAUGCCAAAUAAUUUGAUUCGGAAGCGUGCGAAGUACUGCCCUAAGAUGUAUUCCCGUCUUUCGUGUGGAAUAAAUCGGAAACACCACCCUAAAAUACGACCGGAAUUCCUCCUUCUACGGACACGAACGCGAAAGGGAUCUCAAAGUAAGACAAAUUUCUUCUCACUGUUCUUCGUGCAUAUGAAAAUAUCUAUGUCACUAUACACUGACCACAGUAGAAGUAUAUAUAUAGAUAUAUGCAUGAAGGUAGUAGAGUUGAACGUUGGAAUUCCCAACGUUCACUUCUCCUUAAUUAGUUUCUAACAAAACGUCCGCCGAGAAUUAGACGCGCACAUGGCGCGGACGCGCACAAAGCGCAAACGUGCGCAACGUCCGCGCACGUUGCGGACUAAAUGAAAAAUAUAAUAAAUAAAAUUAUAAUUAAAAUGUAGAAAAUUAAAAAUUAAAAAGAAGUAAUUAAUAAUUAAAAUAAGAUGUAAGAUUUUGAACUUUCAUCAAUAAUUUCCUACAAAAUUCAAAAUCAGAAAAUGAGGAUUAAACUUGAAAGUCAAAUAAAUUAACAACUAAAUCAAUAAAUCACUAAAUCACUGGGUGUUUAUACUAUACAAUAGGUAAGGUGUCUUUAAGGACUUAACCUCACUUAGGGCUUGUUUGGUUCAAUGGUGGAAUUGGAAUGGAUAAUGGAAUGAGAAUGAAUUGGAAUGGUAAUUGAAAUGGCUCACUCCCCCAAAACGUUUGGUUUAUUUGUGGAUUGAGAAUUGGAAUGAGUUAUUUACAUUUUAUUGUUUGGUUCAUAUAAACUAAAAAAAUUAUAGGAUACUAUAAUACUAAUUUUACUCUCAAAUAUAAAUUUAUAUUAUUUAAAAUUUAUAAAAAAUAUAAUACUAUUCUCUAAUAAGUUUUCCAAAAAAAAUAUCAAAUUUAUUUUUAAAAACUUUUAUUGAUGUGGGUUAAGGAUAGGGUUUUGAGAGAGGAUAGAUUUUUUUUUUUUUUGAUGAGAAAGGGGUGAAGAGAAGGAGGGUGAGAUGGUCACAUGGGCUUCGAGAACUUAGUGGGCUUCCGGAAUGAAAUCUCAAUCCGGGUUAGAAGACCGGAAUCAAGUUGAAGGCUAAUGAGCCAUUCCCAUUCCAGUCCGGAAUAGGAAUCCCAAACCGAUUCAUGCGAACAAAACAAAAUUAACCGAAUUUGAUUAAACCGAUUCCCAUUCCAUACCAAAAAUGGGUGAACCAAACAAGCCCUUAGUGUAAAUAGUUUUCAUCAGAAGGAAUCGGAGUGAAUCAGGUCUUGAACUACGUUCCUUUGACCCUAACUUCAACUACCACACGCACAGUACAGAAUUCUCCGUCGCGGGUCUGUACGUUAAUGGCCAUGCACAGUACCUUAAUUUUUUAUAAGAGUUUCUAUGGACAGCCCACAUCUCAUAGCCGCGGCCACAUACGGAUACUCUUAUAUAGGUCGUUUCCUCCAAGGAUGUGUGUAGAGUCACAUCUCGAAAAAAUUAUCGCCUCGGAUCCCAUUAAGAGCUAUAAGCUCAACCUCAACCACUACACAGAGCCCUACUCACCAUAGGAAUGGAAUUGGAGCUAAAAGCUCCCCUAUAUAAAUUGUAGAAAGUGCUCUUUGGCCAACCUAGCAGCUUAUUUUUAACACAUUGAACCUUCUUCAAGAGAUCUACUAUCACAAAGGUUGGGUUCCCACUACAGGAAGGCCCUUUACGGGCAAAGUCCUAUCCCCCUCGAUGACUCCAGGACCUUAGUCCUAUUCAGACCUUUCGUCAAGCAAUCUGCAAGAUUCUGAUCAGAUCUGAUAAAACUCAAAGAAACAAUAUCAUGAGAGGUUAGCCAUCUAACAGACUUUUGUCUCAAUUUAAUAUGCCUACUAGCUUUAGAAUUUACCAAUUUCUUUUUACAAAAAUCAAUUGCAGCUCGAGAAUCACACCUAAUAGAAAUAGGUGGAAUAGGAGAAGAAAUCAAAGGAAUCGAUGAUAGUAGAUUCUUGAGCCAUUCAGCUUCAAGACAAGUAGUAUCAAGAGCAACUAAUUCAGCCUCCAUAAUACUUCUGGCUAUUAUAGUCGGUUUGGUAGAUUGCCAAGAAACUGCACAUCCACGAAGAAUAAAAACAUAACCAGAAGUGGACUUAAUAUCCAAAGAAUCAGAAAUCCAGUUAGCAUCGCUGUAUUCCUCAAUUACAGCAGGAUAGCCAUCAAAACGAAGAGAAUAUGAGAUAGUACCUUUAAGGUAACAAAAUACUCUUUUCAAAGCAAUCCAAUGAGUUAUAUUAGGGUUACUAGUAUAUCUACUCAAUCUCGAUAUGGCAUAGGCAAUAUCAGGUCUAAUCCUAUUGGUUAGAUACAUCAAGGAACCAAUAAUCUGGGCCUGAUUUACAGAAUUACCAAUGUUCUUCACAACUUGAAUACUAGGAUCAAAAGAAGUAGAAACAGGAGAGCAAUCAGAAUAUCCAAAUUUAUCAAGAACCAUUUGGGUAUAAUGAGAUUGGGUCAGAAGAAUAGAAUCAGAUGAUCUAAGAAUUUUCAUUCCUAAAAUCACAUCUGCAUCACCAAGAUCCUUCAUAUCAAAAUGAGUCAAUAAAAAGAAUUUAACUUGAUUAAUCAGAUUAAGAUCAGGUGCAAGGAUCAGGAUGUCAUCAACAUAGAGGCAAAGAAGAACACAACGAUCAUCAAAUCUCUUGAAAUAAAGACAAUUGUCAAAAUCGUUUGUCUGAAAUCCAUAUGAUUCAAUAACACUGUCAAAUUUCUCAUACCACUGCUUAGGUGCUUGUUUUAGUCUAUACAAAGAGCGGACUAAUUUACACACCUUAGUUUCUUGACUAGGCACAGAGAAACCUUCAGGUUGAGUCAUAUAGAUUUCUUUUUCAAGAUCUCCAUGAAAAAAAGCGGUUUUGACAUCCAUCUGAUGAAUCAAAAGCUUAUGAAUAGAUGCUAAUGCAAGAAGGACUCGGAUAGUAGCAAUGCGAGCAACAGGCGCAUAUGUGUCAAAGUAAUCAACUUCGGCUUGUUGUCGAAAACCUUGAGCUAUAAGCCGCACCUUACACUUCUCUACCGAUCCGUCAGUCCUAAGCUUCUUUUUAAAGAUCCACAUAUAUCCUAAAGGUUGGUUCCCAGGAGGUAAAUCAGUGAGAAUCCAAGUGUUAUUGCCAAUAAUUGACUCGAUCUCACUAUUUAUAGCCUCCUUCCAAAAAGAAGCUUCAGAAGAACUCAUAGCUUCAUUGUAUGAUGAAGGUGUACUUUCAACUAAGAAAGUAAAGAAAUCUUCACAAAAGUUCUUCUCGAUACGAGCUCUCUUGCUUCUUCUCAAUUCAGCUGGUGGGCUAGAUUCUACAGGAUCUAAACUAUAUGAUAAAUCAGAUGCAGAUAAAUGAUCGGAUGUAGAUGCAUGAUCAACUGUAUGUAUGAUCAACGUCCGCGCACGUUGCGGACUAAAUGAAAAAUAUAAUAAAUAAAAUUAUAAUUAAAAUGUAGGAAAUUAAAAAUUAAAAAGAAUUAAUUAAUAAUUAAAAUAAGAUGUAGGAUUUUGAACUUUCAUCAAUAGUUUGAUCACCGUUAUCAUCGCCAUCAUCCGUGGCUACCGCCGCCGCCGCACACCUCAUCUAUCAGCAUUUUUCGUUAGCCAUUGGCCCAUUGAUGACCUCGUCGUUUCCGUUUUUGGGAAGAUUUUUUUUUUCCAUUUUUUUUCCUACACAUAUUUUUGAGAGCAUCAAAUUUUCUUAUUCAUAUUUAUGUGGUUAUUUUUGGGUGUUCUUUUCUUGAUGUUUAGUAUUAAAAUUAUUCAAAUUUGAUUUGUAUUGAUCUAAUUUAAUGUUGAUUAUACUGUUAUUUUUUAUUCUAUAUUCCCCACAUGAUUUAGUUGUAUAAUUUCUCUACAUUCUAUAUGCUAUUCGGAAAAUGCCUAAGAGAAAGCGAAUAUCGUUUUUAUUUCUAAUUUUGAUCCCAUCUUAGUGCAGAUUGUAAAAUUAUGUUUCAAAUCCGAAAAUUGUCUUUUCAAACACUAGAAGCUUUGUUUAUUAUUCGAAAUUUCAUUUACGUUACCUUGCUCUUUUGAACAGUUUAAUUUUGAAAACUUUUCAUCCUUUUGAUUGAUAGUUGAGUUUCGUUAUGUUUAUUAUUCUAAAUCUUCUUCGUGCUCCGUCUCAACCUAUUUGAAUGUAUUUAUAAUUGAUCUUGUCAACUUAUGUGAGUCUAGCUAUCCGAAUUUAAUUGUUUAUAUAAAUUUUUCAUUCUAAAUGAUAUUGUCAUCUUUAUAAAUUUAUUUUUAGUAGUUUAUAGAGAAUCAUAGUAAUAGUGGCAUUACAAAUCAAAUACAAUUUUUCUUUUUUUGCUAACUAUUUCUGAGUAAUUAGCUGUUUCAAGAAUAAAAGAAUUAUCUCACUGUUCAUUAUUUCCGAACCAAACUGGGCCGGAGGUGCAGGAGAGAGCAAUGCCGUAGGAGAGAGGGGGAAUAUAUAAAAAGAGAGAGUGGAGAGGAGGGAAGAGUAAGAGAAAAGAAUGAGGGAGGAGAGCCGAAGAAGAAGAAAAAGAAGAGAGAAAAAAAAAAAAAAAAAAAAGGAAAAAAAAAAGAAAAAAGAGAAGGGGAUGUUCUUGUAGGAGGGGAAAGAGAGUGGGGCGGACUUGUGCUGCGGCCACGUAGGCAGCGUGAGGCGGUGAUACAAUGAGGGGAGUAGGAAAGAGAGUCCCAGAGGUAAGGCGUGGUCGGUCUCACGGUCAAUAAUACAUGUUGCAAUAAUAAAUCAAACUUAAUUAAAAUAUAAUUAUAGAUAAGUUUAAAUUUUUUAUUUGAUUAUGAUUAGGAUAUGUAAUAUAAUCCAAAGUAAAAUUAGAUUUUAUCAUCUAUUAUAAUUUGAUAGCUAUAUAUAGCUAGGCAUGAAUUAAUUAGAGAAAUAAGCUAUAGUAAAUAUGACUGUAUGAGUGUUACCCGUGUUGUAAUUAAAUAUUUUUUAUUGAUAAAAUAUUAGUUUAGUUAUCAUUUUUCUCCUCCAAAAUUAGUUCUUCAUAUUAUUUUUUUUCGAUUUUAUAUCUUGGACUAUAUAAUCAGUAUCAGUACAAAUACCAGUUCCAACAAUUGAUAUUAGAGAAAAAUCACGCUUCCAAUAAAUAUUAUCAGGGCGAAUCACGUUUACAACAAAUACAGGAUUCCACAAAUAAAAAUAAAGUUCGACAAAAUAUUCAGCCUUAGGUACCAGAUAUAACAAUGUUAUUUUGUUUGCUUCCGUUUGUAGGUUCUUUAUUUUUUUUUUUUAUUUAAACCAAUUUUCAACCGAAAGAAAUAUUUGACAAAUAUUAUUAUCAACUAUUUUUCAUAUUGAAAUUUCAUCUCAAUUUUUAUCCUCCACACCAUUUUACUGCCUCUCUCUUUUACCAUCAUCUCUUUUACCUUCAACAUGAUGGCGUAUAUAUCCAGUUAGUGGGGCAAAAAUUUUAUGAAUAUUGUGUCCAGAAAAAAUUAAUUUGGGGAUACCCUAGAUGGGCGCCACGUGUUUUGAGCCACUUCCCGACGGGCACCGUGUGGCAUCCAAGCCAUGGGGGCCAACUGUCACUAGGGGUGAAACUGGGUCCCAGCCUAAACAAGGCCCGGCCCGAUGGGCCAUGUUUGGGCCGGACUUUGGGUAUUAAAAAUAUAACUUUGGGUUCGGGCCGGGCUUACAAAUUUUGGCCCGAAAAAAUUUUGGGCUUAUUUGGGCAUGUCCAAGCCCGGCCCGAGCCAGACCCAUAAGCCCGAUAUAUUAAUUAUCAAAAUAAAAUAUUUAAUUAUAUAUAUAUAUUAUUUAUCUAUUAAAAGAAAUAAAUGAUAUAGUAUAUCAUAUAUAGUAUAUAUUGUUAUUAAUGAUAUGUACUUAUAUAUAUGAGGAUAUAUUAUAUAUUAAUUUAGUUUUAUAUUAGGAUAUAUUUGUUGUUAGAUAUUAAUUUCUUUGAUGUGAUCAAACUAAAACUAGGUAUUUUAUUUUAAUUUUAUACAAAUAAAAGUAUUUAUGUAUUAUAUGAUAAAUGCAUAAAAUGGGCCUCCACAAAGCCCGAUGGGCAUUGGGCUUGGGUUGGGCCGGGCCUUAAUUUGCAAAAAAUAUUAGGCAAAAGUCCGACCAAAGCCCAACAUUUUCAUUUGGGCCGGGCUUUGGCAUAGUAUUACCCGACCCAACCCGGCCCAGUUCCACCCCUAACUGUCAGACUUAGCGUUUUCGCCAUAAAAUUAUUCUAAGUUCCUGACACAUCGUCUGUUGCACUCCCAACAAAGGGGGCAACAGUAUUUUUUGGUGCACUGGUGCACUAUUUUUUCUUUAAAAUUUUAUUUUAUUUUUAAAUUAUAAUUUAUAUAUAUAUAUAUAUAUAUAUAAAAUAAUAAUAAUAUUUUAAAAAUAUAUGUAAAAGAAUUUAGAAUUCAGGAUUCAAAAUUAUUUUAUACAUAUUUUUUAAACAUCAUAGUAUAUAUCUCUAUUAUAUUAAAUUAUAAUUAAAAAAUAAAAAAUAAAAUUUUAGAAAAAAAAUGGUGUACCGGGUACGUGCACCAAAAAAGUCCCACUGUUCUCCCAAAAGGAAGAGCAGCAGGGGCGAUGAGCCCCGUGUGGCUCGCGUGCCACGCGGCGCCGAUCCAGCGCGUCCUCAAAUUACACUUUAUGAACAUACUGUCAAUAAAAUUUUAGUCCCAGUUAGCCUAUUCAAUAGGGUAACAAAUGUUACCAGCUUUCCUAAUAAACGAAUAUAUGCUCUGUAACUAUACCCUUUAAAAAAAAUUAAAAAUUAAAUACUGUCAUUUAUAGAUAGGGAUCGAAUUGUUAAUUUACUUAACUAUAUUAUAUCUCUACCAAAGUAAGGCCUGUUAAUAUCAACUUUCAUUUAUUACCAAUGCUAAGCUCUCGUUUGAGAUUGUAAAGAGAUUGUAUUACAUCCUAUGAGAGAAAAAUAAUUUAUUUAUAUAAUAUCGAGUUUUCCAUAUCGUAAUGAGUUAAUUAUAAUUUAUUUUUUACGAUCAUAUUCGAGAAUGGAGAAGCAUAUAUUUAUAUGUCUUUAUCCCAAUUUUAUUUUAUCUAGUUAACGUUAAAUAGGCUUCGGUACUAUAAUUUUUGGGCCAAACAUAUGUGGAUUGUGUGCACUAACUAAAAGGGCUAAGUGAGCCCAAUCAGCCCAACAUGGAAUCAAAGCGGUCCACUUACUAAUUAAGGGUUUUUCGGAAAUGCUAUUAGAUAUAAAAGAGCUUGAGGAAAAAUAUAUAAAAAUAAAAUUUUUUUGUGUUUACAGAAAGAUUUUAUCAUCACUUUUAUUCAUAAUAUACAAAAAUUAUAUUAUAACGAUUGAUUGUAAUUUACAAUUAUAUAAUUUUUUUUUUUUUUUUUUUUUUUUUUUUUUUUUUUUUUUUUUUGUGUUUUAGCAUCACUUUUAUUUAUUCAUAGUGCGUCCGAAGAAAUAAGCUUCCCACAGUAAAGCCCAUAUAUUUUGUUAUCUGUCCACAAGAAUGGUAGAGCUCAUCUGGAACACACAAUUUGAGAUGAUCCACCGCUGAUAAAUCGGGCAUUUUGUGUAUUUUAGUUCCCUCAAAAUUUUUAUUUUUACAAAUAGUUUUAACAAAUUUAUAUUUGUAUAAAUAGUCCUCUGUUUACCACGCGAGCGUCAAGGUGAUAUUUUUAUAUUGAACACGGUGAUUCAAUCACCGUGUUUUAAUACGGUAAUUGGAUCACCGUAUUCCUUUUUGUAUUUUUUUCGUCCCCAAGUUAGAAAGGAGGGACUAAAGUUUGGAUAUGAAUAUGAUAAUUCAAUCACUAUGUUUAAACACGGCAAUUUAUUUAUUGUAUUUAACUUAAAAAUAUAAACAUGACGCUUGUAUGGUAAGAAGAGGACCAUAUUGCAAAUAUAAAAUUAUUAGAAUUAUUUAUGAAGUUUUUUUUUGUUGCAGGGGUUAAAUUUGAAAAAAAUCCUGAUAAAUCAAAACAGCGAACAAUCAAAAUUGACUUACAAAUUUUGCCACUUGUAAUUGAGGGGAAACAUUGUAAUUAUACUCUGCUGUAUGCCAUGCAGUGGUUAUCCACUCCAAAUAGGGCUACAAAUGGAUUGCCGAUGGAGCUCCUGUCUCAAUUUAUUCUGAAUGGAAUGGUAAGUAAAAAUAAAAGAAUUAUAUAAAAACACAAUUCGUUCUGAAUAGAAUUAUAUAAAAAAUAAUUUGUUCUAAAUUCAUCCCACUUUGCUAGCUAAAUAGAGCGAAAGGUGGAAAACUCUUAUCUUAUCUUCUUUUGAUCCAUUCCAAUCAACCAAAACCAAAAACAAUCCGAUCCGUUCAAAAAAGACAUAAUAAAUAAAUAUAAAAAAUAAAAAUAAAAUUAAACAGAUCCGACAACAAAUGGAGGGAAAGGUUGCGGACGCCUCUCAGCCACCGGAUGUGCAUUAUUUGCAUCCCUAAUUCCAAGAGAUAUUUUCUUGCUCGCAAACAAGCGGCUGUCCCUACGUGUACAGCAGAGCGAAGCUCUAGAUUGUUCCAUACAGAACCGACACGUGUCCAUUCAGCUCGGCUCACGACGUUUUUCUUACCACAAUUUUUUUUCUUCUUUAAAGUAGCUCAAAAUUCGAAUUUAAGCCGAAAUGUACUGGUCAUGGUCAAGCAAGUUUUAAGAGCUAAAGUCCUCUUCUAAACUAAUAUUUAAUCUAAUCAUUUCAAAAACUAUUUUCUUCUGGUCAAUGACUUGUCUAAAUUUCUAGAAUAUAUAAUGACAUGCCAAGUAUAAAGUUUGAAAAAUAAUUUAUAACUAGACCGAAGUAUUUUUUUUCUAGAAUAUAUAAUGACAUGUCAAAGUGAACAAUUAAUAUAAGUUUCCAUCAAAUAAUUUAAACUAGAUAAAUUAAAAAAAUUUGAUACUAAAAUUAAAAUAUUGAAAGAUUCAGGAUUAAAUUAUAUUAUAUAUAAUAAGUUUAAAAUAAGUUUUCUGCAUUCUUAUUUAUUAUUAUUUAUUAUUAAUAAUAAUUAUUAUUAUUAUUUAUUUUUGGCUCGCCGAGAGUCAACCGGGUAGAGCCGGUAGCCUCCUCGCCCCUCUUCCCGUUCUAUAUAAGGCAGGCCAGCAGCUCAUCUGCCUGAUCAUGCUUCAGGUUAAUGCAUCACCGCUCGCUUAAAAUAUUUCCAAUCUGACGCACGGCUUGCAGCUCAUCUGCCUGAUCAUUUUUUUCUGGUUCUGCCGUUGAAGCGUCCAGAUGGGCAUCAGGCUGCAGGCGGCGGCGGCGACGCUGCAGGGGAGCAUGCGGGUGGCGUCGAAAUCGGUUGCCGAAGCCUCCUCGAAAUCGGUUGCCGAAACCUCCUCCGCGGGGUCGAAGCGAGUGAGACGAAUCCCCGGCAGGGUCGUCGCCGGCGCUGAGGAUCAGCAUGACCAUGAGCGGAGGCGGUCCGAGGAGGCGCUGCGCACCAUCAUGUAUUUGAGCUGCUGGGGGCCCAAUUAAUUAAGCUAAUUAAAUAAAUUUACAUGCCUGUUUAAAUAGCACAAGGAGCAAAUGAACUGGCACGGUACGCUGGAAAUUAAGUUCGUGUUUGUGUGCGCGCGCAUGUAUGUACGUAUAAUAUAUAUAUAUAUAUAUAUAUAUAUAUAUAUAUAUAUAUAUAUAUAUAUAUAUAUAUAUAUAUAUAUAUAUAUAUAUAUAUAUAUAUAUAUAUAUGCCAUCUAUGUUUCAUGUGUGCGUGUAAUUUAGUAUAUGUAUACAGUAUGCAUGCUGUGGUAGAGUAUGCAUAAGCUAUUAAUCUUGAUUACUUAUUAUUAGGGAACUGUGAUAUAUAAACCCUUUGUACAAGGUUUCGCUGGCUUGUUCUAAAUUGUAGUUGAGUACUGAGGGAUAUUUCAGCCUAUCCAAAAGUAAUUAAUUGUUCCCAGCCAGUUUAUUUUAUUUUAUUUUAUUUUAUUUUAUUUUUUUCAGUUCUUUUCUUGAGGUGAAGUUCACUUGUAGUAUUGCAAUAAAAAGUAAAUUAAGCUUUACUGUAUUCUCAUGAUGGAGUUCUAGGUUGUUGUAUAGUUUUUCAGGAAGGCGAUGAUCGAGCAAAAUCCAGUGCAAAUUAAGAAAUUAAGAGAAAAUCAUAGUAUUUCUUAAAACCAAGCAUACAGAAAAUAUAAAUGACAAUAAUUCAAAUCUAUGUAAGAAAGGAGAAAGGGGAAGAUAUAUUUAUCGGUUUUCGGAAUAUAAAUAUCAAGCCUUCAAAAAAUUAAGUUUAUAAUGGUCAGGAUCCAAACCCCACGGUUCGAGUUGAGACCACUACAUCUCCAUAAAAAUCAAAUUUACGGGUGUACAAGAUUUUUAAUAUCACAACUCAACUAACGACAAUAUAGAGUUUACAUGGGUAAACCGUAGUAUAGCAAGAUCUUACAAGAUAAAGCUCGCUUUUAUUUAUUCCUGAUCUUUCUCUUCCUAUUUGGGCAGAUGUAACAAUCACCCCUUCUUAAUUCGAUCCUUGUACCCAAGGAUCAAAAGAAGGGAAUUGGCUCGUAAGAACCCCAUAAUCUUCCCAUGUAGCGUGCUCCUCAAAAAGAUUUACCCACUUUACUCGCACCUCGGUAGCCGCCUUGUCCCCGCGCCUUACCAUUCUCCUUUCCAAGAUUUUCUCAGGCUCUGUCAGCAGCUCGUCGUUCUCGUCCAUAGUUGGUACUCUCGGGGAUACCUGGACUGCUAUUGGGGGACUUUUCUUUAGAAGGGAGACAUGGAAUUAACACUGGGUGAACUCUUGAUCCUUCAAGUAAUUGUAAAUUAUAAGCGACUGGCCCGACGAGCUCCAAAAUUCUAAAAGGCCCAUAAUACCUUGCAGCAAGUUUUAUAUGUCUCCUUAUGGCCACAAUAGUUUGCCUGUGUGGCUGUAAUUUGAGAUAUACCCAAUCCCCCACUGCAUACACCUCCUUCCUGUGUCGGUCCGCCUGUUGUUUCAUUCUGCUUUGAGCUACCUGUAGCCAAUCCUUCAACUCCUUAGUUAGCCUUUCUCUGUCCUCGGCCCAUCCCUUAAAAUCCUGAGAGGUAACUGAAUCGACAGUGGCCACCAGGUAAUUUGGAAGGGAAUGCCCAUAUAAAGCUUCAUAUGGGGUCAUGCCUAUAGACAAGUGGAAGUUGGUGUUAUACCACCACUUGGCUAAGGCUUAACCAGGAAUGCCAUCUUUUUGGAUGUUGAAAGCACAUACACCGUAAGUAGGUUUCUAGACAUCUAUUAACUCUCUCCGUUUGGCUGUCGGUUUCAGGGUGGUAAGUCGAGCUCAUGUGCAGUUUGGUGCCCAUCGACCAAACAGUUCCUUCCAAAAUUGACUUACGAAUAUUUUAUCCCUAUCUAAGACUAUCCUCUUUGGGCACCCGUGUAGCUUACAAAUUGUUCCCAUAAAUGCUUUAGCUACAUCUGAGGCAGAGAAAGGGUGUUUCAAUGAAGUGAAGUGAGCGUACUUCGUGAGUCUAUCUAGUACCAACAUAAUUGUGUCUUUCCUUGCAAAUUUAGGUAACGAUUCUAUGAAGUCCAUACUUACAUCUUCCCAUACUUAGUGAGGGAUAGGUAAAGGUUGCAACAACCCUGAAUAAGGGGUUUCAUCCACCUUAUUUUGAGCGCAUAUAGUACAUCCUUUCACCUACCCUUCUACCUCUCCUUUAAUCCAGGCCAAAACAAAUGUCGUUUAAUCCUUCUGUAAGUAUUAUGUAUACCUAAAUGGCCACCCAAUGCGAAAUUAUGCAUUUGAUCAAGAAUCCUUCUUCUCAACUACCCCAUUUCUCCAAUAUUUAACUUGCCUUUGUACCUUAGUAGUUCAUUGCCGUAAAAGUGGUGCCCCUGGGUGGUUGGUUGUAGAGUUAAUGCAUUUAUCAUUUUCUCAUAGUGCUGGUCUCCCUUAUAACUCUCCACCACCUCUUGUAUCCAGGUUGGUAUCACCGCAGUUAUGGUUAAAGCAAUCCCUUCUUCUUCCCCCUCUCCUAGAAAGUGCAUCUGCCGCAGCAUUCUCUUUACCUUUCUUAUAUUGAAUGGUGUAAUUAAGGCCCAUUAGUUUCAUCAUCCCCUUUUGUUGCAGUGGUGUUGAUAUCCUUUGCUCUAAAAGAUGUUUCAAACUUUCAUGGUCUGUUUUAAUCACAAAGGUUCCCGUGCUUAAAUAAUGCUUCCACUUUUGUACUGCCAUGAGUAUAGCUAGGAAUUCUUUUCGUAUGUCGACUACCCAAGAUAUUUACCCCCAAUCGCUUUGCUCAAAUAAGCUAUUGGCCUCCCAUUUUGGGACAUUACUGCCCCUAUUCCUAUGUUGCAUGCAUCCAUCUCUAUAGUGAAAGGUUGAUCAAAGUUGGGCAUUGCUAAUACUGGAGCCCUAAUCAUUGCAGCCUUCAGCUCUUCAAAUGCUAGUUGGGCCACUUAGUUCAGUCAAGGGUUUACUAAUUUUUCAUAUCCUUUAAUGAAUUUCCUAUAGUACCCGGUCAUAGUAGCCUUCAGCUCUGCAAAUGGUGUCUUUACCGCCUUUGCUUUACUCAUGCCAAACUUGUAUAUCAACUUUUCUACAAAUCUCUUUUAUGAAAGUGACAAUGUGCCAUUUUGCCUAUCCGGCCAAAUCUCCAUGCCAAGAAUUUGACGUGCCGGUCCGAAAUCUUUUUCUUCAAAGGCUUUACUGAAUUCAUCCUUGAGUUCAUUGAUCUUAGCUUGUCCUUGCAUACUAUAAGCAUGUCAUCCACAUACAACACCAAAACCAUAAAGGUACCACUACAACAUUUUGUAUUAAAGGUGGCUUUUAUGGAUACCUAUAGUAGCUUUAUGAAAAGCCGCAAUAAAAAGUACUGACUUUUCUAAAAAAGCCACAGAAAAAGCUGGUGAAAACUGAGUCGGUAUAGGUCUAUGUCAAUAUAACGACAUCUUAUAAAAGCCGCAUUUUAGUGCCUAUAGCGGCAUAUUGAAAGCCACUAUUAGCAUUUAAAUUGUGGCACUAUUUGUAAUGUACCAGAUUUUAAUACAAAAUUAAGUGUAAAUAAAAAUAGUGUAAGAUACUAUUUUUAUUGGACUUGAAGAAGAAAAGUAUAAGUCGGAAAUGACUUAUGCUGAAAUCGGAAUAAAAACAGGAGAUUUAGAAUUUUCUGUGAGAAACGGAAUUGGUAUUUUUAGCAGAAAAUUCAAAGUGUCAGAAAAUUAUAAAAAUCUGAGAAUAUGUCAAGAUUAUUUUUAUGAGGUUAGAUUUAAAGUUUCAUAUCAUUCUGACACCCAGAAAGUAAAAAAUAAAAUCUGACUACUAUCUGCUAGAGAUUACAGUUCGGUAGGAUUUUCGGUGACCAAAAAUGGUCCAAACUGGAAAGUUAAGAUAUUUUCUUUCUUAUUAGCUUAAACUGAGCCUGACUGUCAAAUUUGAGCGCAAACGGACAUUCAGAAGGGCUCCGGUAAAAAGGAACAGAUUCUGAGCUGCUAAACUGCUGGUUGUAAUAGUGUUUUGAGGGUGUUUACUAUAAAUGGAGCACUUGUCUCCUUCUUCUCCUUCAGCCGAGCACCACCAGCACCACCACACACACACGUAUGGAAUGGAGGAGAGAGAAAUCCUCCCUUUCUCUUUCUAAAUAUCUCCCUCAUCUCUCUAGAUCUCUCUCUCAAAUUCGCGGCGUUGGCGGAGAACGAGCUUGGGAACGCGUGAGUAGCGUCGGAUCGGGUCUUCAUGCGCCCGGUUGAGCGGCGUGCUUCCGACUCGGCGUUCAAUAUUUGGUAAGUGUUAGGAUUUUGGUUAAAUCCUUAAUACUUGAUGUUCUAGUAGCCUCUAAUGUGAUGUUAACAUGUUUUCUCCAUUUAAUUUGGGUUAUUUGGAGCGUUGGUAGAGGCUAGGGUUAGAAAGAGGGUUUGAAAAUUAGAGAGUUUGGAUCUAAUAAAACCCUAUUGUUCUCUAAUUGAAGGUUAGAGACGAGCCGUUGAUGACCCUAGGUCGCGGAUUAACGGACGUUCGGCGAUCGAUUGCGUAUUCGAGCCGAACCGGGUAUCGUGUGCCGCGGGAGCUCGAUUGCUAGUGUCGACAAGCAAUCGGAGAGUGUUGCGAGGUGGGUUGUGCUCACUGAAAUGUUCAGCUCACUUCCAUGUCGAAGCGAAGUAAUGUUUAUUAUUGAUGCAUAUAAUGAUAGUUGGUUGAAGAACAUAUGAAUGCAUAAGUGAAUGCUAUGUUAGACUACCAUUGGGUAUAUGAUGAUAUAUUGUAAAAGUGCUAGAUGGAAUGCAUGAUUACAUAAUGCUAAAUGAAUGCAUGAUGAUAUGUUAUAGAAUAUGCUAGAUGAUAUGCAUGUUGACAUAUAUGGAUUAUGUUAGAAGAACUAUGCAUGUUGACAUAUAUGGUUUAUGUUAGAAGAACUAUGCAUGUUGAACUUGGGUCGAUAACUCUAGGUGGAUUUGAGAAUUCGACUGUCACGCCCCGGGACCCGGCAUAGGCCCGCUCGGUGCGCGCCCAGACCCGCCAUAUGUCUACACAUAUAAGGCGUCUACACAAAAGCGGAAGAGUAAAGCAUGAGAAGAUCUACGACUAGAGAUAUCAGAGCAAGUAUAUAGCUAGGUUCUAACAUUAGGUAGAAUCAAAAGAAAAUCAUACUACUAAGCAUAAANAGCAAAAACCACCUAAAAACCAAGAAAAAGGAAGAUGAAAUCCAAAAUGAGGCAAGGAGGAGCUCUCUCACCUGUUUCCUCUGAGUUCUGGGCUCAGGAAACCAAAGGGGAGGCGUGGGGUAUCAUAUAGAGGUGCAACACUGCAAAAACACCCCUGCAGUUCGAACUGUUCGAAAACUGCCAAAGUGUACCGGUACACGGGAAAGUGUACCGGUACACAUCCUACGAAAAUGCAAAACCGAGGCUCGGGUUCGAAAUUCGCCGCAAGUGUACCGGUACAACCAUCAGAAGUGUACCGGUACAAAAUGUGUACCGGUACAGCCAUCGACCUGUCACCGGUUACACCUCGUGCAGAAUGCAAUCCGAGGGUAGGCUAAGUCCAACUCUUUAGUGACCUUAGCGCUACAUAAAAAAACUACAAUUCUCGGGAUUCGAACCAUAGGUCGGAACACUGUCAACGACCGACCAGAAAAUCUGGAAAAGCUCAGGACACAGUCCAAAUACUCGAACCUCGCAAUUUGCAAAGGUCCAAUGUGUUACAUCGACAUUGGAAAAUAAGGACAUAUGAACUAUGAUACUCGAUGUGAACAAUUAGGAUGUCAAUUAGAUCGAGUGGCAUUUGGAACUAGUGUAGUAAAAACAUUAUGAUAUGAACAUAGGGAUAAAAGAAUUCCCGAGUCGUUGUGAUAUGACUUAUGAAUCUAGUGUAGUAGAAACACUAUGACAUGAACAUAGGGAUAGUAGAUUUCCCGAGUUGUCAAGGUGGCAUUUGAAUCUAGUGUGGCAGAAGCACUAUGACCCUUGUAGACUGGGUAUCCUCUGUAGACGAGGAUUAGAUCAUACUCACUUAGUCUGUUUUUCGCUUGGGGUGGUCGCUUCACACAAGCAGUGGUCUCCGGAGAUGUCACACUAGGGGAAGACGUAGUUGUCCCGGAAACGGUCUCGGUGUGCGAGUGCAGAUUCUCCUCACCUAUGAGAUUUUCAAAGUGAGUCGGGGCUUAACCUUUUGGUUAGCCAGUGAGAUUGAGUGACAUUCUUGUGAGUGAAUCCCAGCAGAGUGGAUUGGCAUCCCAGUUGGCGUCCCAGUUGAGUGGAUUGAAGGCUGAGGUGCAUGUGAGACGUCCUUCACCUCGAGCCUAGUUUUACGCGGUAUUCCGCAAAUGAUUGACUCAAGACCGAGUCAAGUAGAUAGCUUGGUAAAGGUAGAUGAAACCUUGUGAGCAAACAGUAAAGAUAGAUGAAACCUUAUGAGCAGAAUUGUAACUGACAUGAAUCUAAGAUAGAGGAAAACUUAGAUGUUAUUUGGAUGAGCUAUGGAUAGCGAGACAGAAAGUAGAAGCAGUUGAUCUACUUGUAUUCUUGCACGUUGAGUUGCAUGACUUACAUUGAUGCAUGUUGAGUUGCAUGAUUUCCAUUGUUGCAUGUUGCGAGGCAUGAACGUGAUAAUGUUAGUUGUAUAAAAUAUUUAAUGAAAAAGAUGUAUAGCUGUGGAUAUCUGUUGGACUAACAUGUUUGCAGUGCCUCCUUCGCACCUGGUGGAUUGAGCUCUUUCUUUGGGUGGCCGUACCCACUGGGAACUAUGGACAAUAGUUCUCACCCCACGUGGUUUUGGGGUUUCAGGUUCACACGCAACCGGCGCCGUGGCGCGAGGAAAGGGCGUAGCUUCGUAGAUAGCGCCCUACCACUGAGACCAGAGAUAGCGGUACCCCGAGUCAGCCUACCUAGGGGUGUAGAAAAAGAAGGAAAGCAUUAAUUGUGUAAUCUUGAUUGUAUUUGAAAGAAAAGAAAAUGAAAAUGUAAUAUAUAAAUAGCAUAUGAUGUGAAUGCUCGUAAUAGUUUAGUUGUUUUAUGUUUUUGAUACUUCCUUAUGCAAUUUGUGAUUGAAUAUUUUUCCUAGUUGGAACCUCUUGUAUUAUAUUGAUUGCGACGCCUAGGACAUAGAGGGAAAACUCUCUCCGUUCGGCGGUCUGUCGGCGGGCCCGAAUCCGACCAAAUAGACGGAUCUCGAGGCGUGACACUAUUACAGCCGCCUUUGAUUAUCUAUAGUGGCUUUUUGCCACAAUAUUGCAAUUUCUACCAUUUUUAAGAGCUAUGACAUUUAAAAAGCUGUGACGCCCUAGCUUCCCAGGAGGUCACCCAUCUUAGGACUACUCCCAUCCUAGCACGCUUAACUCUCUUAACCUCUUGGGGCUUGCCACCACCCAAAAUGCUUAAGCCGGGUUAAGAGUUUAGCCCUAUUAUAUCUCAUAUAUAGGACUAUCUGGGGUCUCACAAUCUCCCCUCCUUUAAGCCCUGACGUCCUCGUCAGGCUCAGACUCACAAAUACCAGGCGAUGUGAGACUCAUCUCGCUAGCCCGUCAUCCAGACCCUGGCUCAGCCGAGACUCAUCUCACACUUCCAGCUGGUAAUUGGCUCUAAUACCAUCUGUGACGCCCCAGCUUCCCAGGGGGUCACCCAUCUUAGGACUACUCCCAUCCUAGCACGCUUAACUCUCUUAACCUCUUGGGCCUUGCCACCACCCAAAAUGCUUAAGCCGGGUUAAGAGUUUAGCCCUAUUAUAUCCCAUAUAUAGGACUAUCUGGGGUCUCACAAAAGCCGUCUUUAAUUAGUAUAGCGGCAUUUGGUGUGCCACAAUACUAUAAUUUUUGUGGCUUUUUUUAUGCUGUUAAUAGAAUUAUGUUGUGGCUUUUUGAAAGUUGUUAAUAUGCAUAUACAAUGACUUUUUAUAAAGCUACAAUUGAUUGAAAUAUAUGUACUUUUUAAUAUGUAUAUUAGCUAGGGAUAGUAGUUGUAUGGAAGAUACAAUAUAAAAAUGACACAUUCAUAGCAAAAAAAGUUGUUUCAUUCAUAUAUAAGUCAAGAGUAUCGAAUGAAGCCAAAAUACUAAUUGUUCCUCACAUCCUCAGCAUCAAUAAAAUGAUAAAAAACUAUAAGAUCCAAAAUCAGGUUGUUAGAAAUGACACAGUAGCUCUAAACAUAAAAUGAUGCUAAAGGGCAUAGUAGGUCCAAAUACAAAAGAAAUGAUCAAGUAUCAUGUCACGCCCUGGAUUACUCAUUUUUCCGGGCACGCCAUCAGACCCGCCGUAUACAUAGGAAUUUUUUUCGUACACGAAGCGAAGCUGUAACUGUACCUGUAAUAAUACAACACUACAACCAGUAGUAUAGAACUGCUAGGAAAAAUGAACAUGGGUAUAUAAUAAAAAUGGAUCAGCACAUACACAGUGUCCUGGUACAAAAACACUCGCUCCAGUGAGGUAUAACAUCAGUAUGUAAUGAACCAAAAACUACAACUACCGGUAGCUGGUACUCUACUAGCUCUGGCUCGUCUGGUAGGGCUCUAACUCGCGACGCCCUUGCCACGAUCAGGAUGAGCAGCAGCCGACAACGACGGCUCUGCAAAACGAAAAAGAACAACUGGGCGUGAGAACUACUGUAAAAACAAGUAGUCCUUAGUGGGUGCCGCCCUCAACAUCAUCGGUCCACCCACUAAGUCUACAGAAGGGAGCUGGGAUAGUACAUAAUGCUGGAACAAAUCUACAGCUAAGAACCAUCAUACUAUCAUGCUCUAACACUAACAAUCUGUAGAAAAUGUCAAUUCUGACGCAAUCUCACUCGGGACUGUAACCGUACCCGUCUCAGGGACUGUGAAAACACCCGUCCCGCCUGUCGAAGCUAAAGCUACCUCCACACUAAGCAGUCAGUGGAUAGCAAGUCCAAACAGGACACCUCGACAUCAACGCAGAAGCACUAAGCCCGACUCCGGAGUGGCACUCGUGGGCGCUACUCAACCGAGUAUGCAAGCGUAUCUCUGUCGAGCUCAAUCAGGCUCUCGGAGACUAUAGUCAAGUAUACCGGGUCCAACUGGUCUAACAACCAACGAGUCACGUGCCCUCGACACAAUUUGAUGCCAAAACGGCAAUCUGAGUCCACCAUCAAUCCCGACCGCCCCCAACAGUCCGGAACAGGCUCGGCAUCCCAGCACGAGCUUAACAGCAAUCUACACUAUCUGAGGUAUCCACCACACUGAUACUGCGGCGAUACUAAAUAACAGCGGCUCCUAAAGCUAAAUCUAAUAGUGUAAGCAUAUAACGGGUCAGAAUCGCGGAUUUUUUCCUAAGCCAAAUCCAAGUCCGCAUGUAUAAGUCAUCCACCAAUAAUAUUAUGCUCCAAAUUCAGUUUAUAUGUCAAAGACAUGAACAAUCCACGAAUUCGAGCUAUCACACAUGAAAUGCAUAACAAAAAAUAUACAUGCCGUUAACCGAGACUUUAGGAGUAGAAAUCCGAUGUUAAACCCACCUCAAAAGCUAAUCCAACUCCGGCGCGACGUCGAGAAUGGCGGAAUCGCACCCUCGCCGGACCUCCUCGCGAUGCUACGGCAACAAACGUGCGCUCGAACGGCUCCGCGACGCGACGUCGGUGACGAAACACUCUACCCGAGCUCCUCCUUGCUCGGCCGAUGCUAGAGAGAGAGGGAAGAAGAAACACAUUAACCUUCUUUCUCAGCUCCUCUCAAUCCUAUAUAAGCGAUGGAGGGAAGUGGUGAUGUGAACGAGGCACGAAAUGACCAAAACACCCUCUCACCUACCCUGGUGUACCGGUACACGAGCAAGUGUACUGGUAGAAAUGGCAACUCGAGAGCAGCUGCGCAAAAUCUGUCGAAGUGUAGCGGUACACCCCUGAUGUUGUACCGGUACAGAAAGUGUACCGGUACACCUUGAUGGUUGUACCGGUACAACAAGCAGAAAAUCUGCUGUUUGCAGAUUCCAAUGCCAAGUCCUGCUCUCGCGUCCCCGCUGAGUCCGUUUUGCGUCUAUUUCGCGCCAACGUGACUCGUACUUGUCCCGACACUCUCCAGAGCUGUCGACAAGCCUCUUUUGCUGAACACCAGGGAUACCACAUCCUCCCCCACUAUAAAAAGUUUCGUCCUCGAAACUUAAACAUACCUCAGCCCUGGGCAUCGAACAGAUAGGGAUAGGACUCCCUCAUCACCGUCUCAGGCUCCCAAGUCGCCUCCCGCUCCUCGUGAUUACUCUACUGUACUUUUAUAUACGGGAUGACCCGAUUCUUUCGUCUCCCGAGCAAGAAUCCGCAGCGGUCGCUCCUCGUAUCUCAGAUCCUUGCCAAUCUCUAGUUGAGUGAAGUCGAUCACGUGAGAAAGAUCGAACACAUAUCUCCUCAAUGCCGAGAUGUGGAAGACAUCGUGGAUACCGGCUAGUCGAGGAGGUAGAGCAAUCCUAUAAGCAACCGGUCCUACUCGCUCCAAUACCUCAAAAGGGCCAACGAAACGUGGACUGAGCUUUCCACGUACUCCGAAUCUACGAAUCCCUCUGGAUGGUGAGACUUUGAGAAAAACAUGAUAUUCAACCUGGAACUCUAAGUCUCGUCUCCUGGUAUCGGCGUAGCUCUUCUGGAGGCUCUGGGCUGUUAAAAGGUGUCGUCGAACAAUGAAAGUUUUGAGGAGCCCAAGGAUCUAUCUAGGUUGUAUCUAUCACCUAGAGGGGGGUGAAUAGGUGAACUAUAAUUAUACAGCUAAACUAGAGGCGAAGCGAACCUCAAGAGAAGGAACCAAAAGAUGCUAUGAGGAUUCGCUUCCUAGUGGUAUUAGUACUACGAGAAGUACUUGCCGCAGCACCUAAGCCGCACUUGUUUCCGCCAAGCACCUAAGCCUAGCAACCGAGCACCUAAGCUCACCGCAGCACCUAAGCCGCACUAACUUCGAAGCACCUAAGCUUCACCUCCGCAAGCACCUAAGCCUGCACUCCCGCACCUGUUGGGCCUCCCAUCGCGCUUCUAAGUAUCCUCCAAUUCUCUCCAAUUCAAGCACCUCAGCCAUUAGUGGAACAUUAGAAAAGAAAAUCACUUAACAAAAAGCGCACAACCAGGGCACCCAAAAAGAGGUUCAACCUCAAAGGGGUGCAUUUAGAGCCACACGAAAAAUAAAAGGCGUAAAUAAAAAUAACGUAGCUCUAAACACCAAAAACCGGCNUUUGAUGAAAUCUGAGCCUCUAGGGUUUCUCAAUUAUGUAUUCUUGUGAUGCUUAAUCAAUUAGAGAACCCCUAUAGCUUAUUUAUAGACUUUAGAAUCAAAACAGAGUAGGAUUAGAAAGUUUCUUUCCAAAAUCAGCACCUUGUACCGGAACAAGGAAUGUUGUCCAGGGUACAGCAUGACGGAAGAUUUUUCUGCGAAGCUCCUGUACCCUGGAUAGGCUGUUGCUUGUUCCGGAACAGGGCUUGUACCGGUACAGCAUGAAGCUUGUACCGGAACAACCAUCAAACUUUCUGCGCAACGUUGAUGGCUGUACCCUGGACAGAAAAUCCUUGUACCGGUACAGCAAUGCAAUUUUCGCUGAAACUGCAUUGUUUUGGAUUUUACAAACUCUUAGAAACUUUCUUAAUCAAUUACAACUUGAAAACAUGAUUCUAAGAUCUAUAAUUAAGUAUGAAUCACCAUAAACAAGAUUUAAAGCUUACCUACGCAUUGUGAUUCAUGUUUUACGUGUUUUGCAUCCUUUCCGAUUCUUCGAAGUCUUGGAUUGUUCGAUCUUCAAUACUCCGCUCCGAACUUCUUCAAGACUCCGACUCGACCCACGAAACUUGCCAACACAUAGGACCUAACAAACAAUUCUUAUCUUUUCCUCAGUCUCAAGCAAGAUCUCAGGCCCUAGUGUCCUCCUCUCACCUACAUCACUCCAAAACAAAGGGGAUCGACAUCUGCGUCCAUACAACGCCUCAAAUGGAGCCAUCUGGAUGCUUGUUUGAUAGCUGUUGUUGUACGCAAACUAGCCAGUCUCAAAUGUCGAUACCACCCUCUUCCAAAAUUCAGGAUGCAUGCCCUCAGCAUGUCCUCCAGAGUCUGUAUGGUCCUCUCUGACUGACUAUCUGUCUGUGGGUGAAACGCCGUGCUGAAAUGCAGCUGUGUACCCAAGGCUGUCUGAAGACUCCGCCAAAAGUGUGAAACAAACCUCGGGUCCCUGUCCGAUACAAUCGAUAUCGGCACACCAUGCAGCCUGACGAUCUCAUCCAAGUAUAACUGCGCGAGUCUCUCUUUGGACCAGGUGGUCUGAACUGGUAGGAAGUGAGCAGACUUAGUCAGUCUGUCCACUAUCACCCAAAUAGCAUCGAAACCACCCUGUGCUCUAGGCAACCCCACGACGAAAUCCAUUGUGAUCUGCUCCCAUUUCCACUCGACCACUGACAGACUUUGCAGCUUGCCAGCAGGUACCUGAUGCUCUGCCUUUACCUGUUGGCAAGUCAAACAAUGAGCCAUAUAUCUGCCAAUGUCUCUCUUCAUUCCAUUCCACCAAAAAUGUGCCUUUAAAUCCUUAUGCAUCUUAGUUCCACCAAGGUGAACUGUGUAAGGUGAAUAAUGAGUCUCUCUCAAAAUAUCCUCUCGAAUCUCAAAAUUCAUAGGCACACACAGUCGGUACCUAUAUCAUAGUACUCCCAAACUGUCCACAACAAAACCCUCUGCCUGUCCCGUAUCCAACUGCUCUCGAAUCCUCAACAAGUGUGGGUCUCCACUCUGUUUCUCUCGGAUCCUAUCCAACAGAGUGGGCUGCAAGACCAUAGACAUCAGUCUUGCAGUAGGCCCCGGGGACACAAUUUCGAUCCUCAACCGCUGCAGUUCCUCGAGUAACGGUCUCUGCUGUGUGAUCAUCAAACUCAAGCUCUGCACUGCCUUCCUGCUCAACGCAUCUGCCACCACAUUCGCCUUGUCGGAAUGAUACUGAAUACUAAUGUCAUAGUCCUUCAGUAACUCCAACCAUCAGCAUUGCCUCAAGUUCAACUCCCUCUGGGUGAGCAGAUACUUGAGACUUUUAUGAUCAGUGAAAACCUCACAAUGCUCGCCGUACAAGUAAUGACGCCACAACUUCAAAGCAAAGACUACCGCGGCAAGCUCCAAGUCAUGCGUAAGUAAUUCUUCUCAUAAUCCUUUAACUGUCGUGAAGCAUAAGCAAUUACCCUACCAUGCUGCAUCAGCACACAGCCCAGCCCGCUGUGCGAUGCAUCACUGUAAAUCACAAAUCCUUUCCCCAUCACAGGUAGGGCAAGAAUAGAAGCUGACGUCAACCUCUGUCUCAACUCAUCAAAGCUCCUCUGAUAAUCCUCACUCCAGAUGAACCGAACCCUCUUUCGAGUCAAUCGAGUGAGGGGUGUGGAAAGCUUCGCAAAGCCUUCCACAAACCGACGGUAAUAACCAGCAAGUUCCAGAAAACUCCUCACCUCUGUCACCGUCGUCGAUCUGGGCCAAUCCCGAAUAGCAUCGAUCUUCUUCGGGUCCACUGCUACUCCCUCUGCAGAAAUCACGUGGCCCAAGAAAACAACCUCCCACAACCAGAACUCGCACUUCUUUAACUUGGCAUACAACUUCUUCUCUCGCAGAAGUUGUAGCACAGUCCUCAAGUGCUCCUCAUGCUCGGCAUCACUCCGGGAGUAUAUCAAAAUAUCGUCGAUGAAGACUACUACAAAUCUAUCCAAGAACGGCUUGAACACUCUGUUCAUCAAAUCCAUAAAUGCAGCAGGAGCAUUCGUCAAUCCAAAAGGCAUCACCGUAAACUCAUAAUGCCCAUACCAAGUCCGAAAAGCCGUCUUGGGAACAUCCUCGGCCCUCACCCUCAGCUGGUGGUAACCUGACUGGAGGUCAAUUUUCGAGAAGACACAAGAUCCUUGCAGUUUAUCAAACAGAUCAUCAAUGCGCAGCAAAGGAUACUUGUUCUUGAUGGUCACUUUAUUCAGCUCCCGAUAAUCCACACAUAACCUGAGCGAACCAUUCUUUUUCUUUACAAAUAACACCAGCGCUUCCCAAGGUGACACACUGGGUCUCACAUACCCCGUACCCAUCAGAUCCUAAAGCUGUGCCUUUAGCUCUCUCAGCUCCGCUGGUGCCAUCCGAUACGGUACCUUUGAGAUUGGUGCAGUUCCAAGAACUACAUCAAUCACGAACUCAAUCUCCCUCUCCGGCGGCAUCGUCAUCAACUCUAGGGGAAACACAUCUGGAAACUUGCGGACUACAGGAAUAUCCUCGAGUCCCGGCGCCGCCGUAGAUACCUCUACAACAGUUACUAGAAAUGCCACACAUCCUCUACUCAUCAUCUGUCGAGCACUCGUUGAAGAUAUCCAAGUGGCAAACAACGUGCUCCUGCAGCCCCUAAAAGUGAACUCCUCCUGGCCUGGCUCGCGGAACGUCACCAUCCUCGCUCCACAAUUAAUAGUAGCAUAGUACCGCGCCAGCCAGUCCAUACCGAGCACAACGUCAAAGUCCUGCAGCUGCCCUAACACCAACAGGUCUGCGGGCAUGAUCCACGAAUCCAACUGCACCGAACAUGACCAACAACACUCUGCAACCUAUAACACAUGGUCGGGGAUCUGCACCUCUCGUGCCUGUGACAACGCCCCUAACUCUAGACCAUGCAACAAUGCAAAUGCUCGGCUAACAAAGAAAUGUGAUGCACCGGUAUCAAAUAGAGUGCGAACUCUAAUGCCAUAAAUCAAAGUAAUACCUCCCACUACUCGGUCGGCUGCUGUAGAGUCCUCCACCUGGGCUGCAUAGAACCGCCCACUCGGCGCCUGCUGCCUCCGCUCACUCUGACGGGGCAUGGACGAUCUAUCCUCCUGGCGGAAACUCCGAGCUGCUCCAAAAGAUUGCGGAGGUCCUGGCUGUGCUGAUGUGAUCGAUGGUGCUUGUGAUGCUGCUCGAGGACAAGCUGAUCUCAUAUGCCCGGGCAGUCCGCAACUGUAACACCUGCCCUCUCUCUGCUCGCACUGCUGGAGCCAGUGGGGUCCCCCGCAGAUCACACACUACGGUAUCCUUGGUGACUGUCCCUGCUGACAGGGUCCCCCAGAAUGCUGACGCCCUGAAGACCCACGACCCUGAGAGCGCGAUCGGGGUGGUCUCGGCGGACGCCUACUGCUCGACGGUCCUGCAUCAUUUAGAAAGGGGCGCUUCCGGUCUUGACUCUGCCUCACUGCCUGAGUCCUCUCCUGAAGCGACACCUCAUCUCUCUCCACCCAUAAGGCCUGCUCUAUGGAUGCAGCCAGGGUUCUCGACCUCUGCGCCCGCACAAACCUGAAGAUGUCGGGUCUCAGCCCCUGCUCAAAUAGAUAAACCCUGUGUGCCUCGUCCCUGGCCACAAAUGGCACAUAGUUCAGGAGUCGAGUAAACUCCCGAAUGUACUCCUGCACUGGCCGAUCCCCCUGCUGAAUCCUCUUCAAAUCCUCCUCGAGCUUCUAUUUCACACUGUUGGGAAAAUACAUCCCAAACAGCAUUCCACAGAACUCAUCCCAUCUCAUCUGCAACGCUACCAAUCCCUGAUCUCGCCUCACUCUCCUCCACAAGGCGUGUGCAUCGCCUGCCACGCAAUGGCCUCCCAACGAUACCUGCUCCCACUCAGGAAUGAACAGAUCCUCAAAAAGCUUCUCCAUCGCACUGACCCAUCCCUCAACGACCCAGGCCCCAGUGCCACUGCAAUCGAAGGUCGACGGAUCAAAACGGCGAAAACGAGCCAGCCUCUCGGUCAUCCGCUCCCGCUCGGCCUCGGUCAACUGUCCUGGCCCUCUAGAAGGCGCAACCGGCGCUGCGAGAAUAUCCAUAAGCGGGGGUACAGCUGCGGUUGGUGCUGCAGCUGAAGUAGUCGGAGGUGGAACAACCGACUCUGGUGCUCUCGGUACUGUACUCGGUGGCGGAGCUACCCUCUCGCACAACCUCUCCAACAACUCCCCCUGUCGCCUCGUCACCUCAGUCAGGGCGGCUAUCUGUGCACUCAUGUCAGGGGAUGCACUCGCCUCCGGUCGAACACUCUGCUCCACAACAGGAGGUACACUCGGCUCCGCCUGCUCCAGCAUCUCGGAAGGUCCUGCACGAUCCUGUGUCAACUGGGCACGCUUCCGCAACGACGGUCGACCUCGGCGAUGAUACUGUGAGAAACAAAACAGGGUCAGCAACUCAAGCACUCUCGACCGAAUCAACGAAAGUCUGGAAUGCGGCCCCUGUUUCUCCUCAAAAUUAUGUCGUCUGCAGCCAACAUAAUUUCUCUGGAACGAAACAGACACUCCUUCAAUCACUCACUCCACUCUAGGAGGAGUUAAAUAAUUAAUCAUUGACUUUCGCUAUAAAUCACGCCUCUCGCAUCUUGCUUUCCUAAGGUUUGCCAAACUUAGGUUUCCUAGGUCCCAACGACCUAAUGCUAAGCUCUGAUACCAACUUAAUCUGUCACGCCCCGGAUUACUCGUUUCCCCGGGCACGCCAACAAACCCGCCGUAUACAUAGAAAUUUUUUUUGUACACGAAGCGAAGCUGUAACUGUACCUGUAAUAAUACAACACUACAACCAGUAGUAUAGAGCUGCUAGGAAAAAUAAACAUGGGUAUAUAAUAAAAAUGGAUCAGUACAUACACAGUGUCCUGGUACAAAAACACUCGCUCCAGCGAGGUAUAACAUCAGUAUGUAAUGAAUCAAAAACUACAACUACCUGUAGCUGGUACUCCACUAGCUCUGGCUCGUCUGGUAGGGCUCUAACUCGCGACGCCCUUACCACGAUCAGGAUCAGUAGCAGCCGACGAUGACGGCUCUGCAAAACGAAAAGGAACAACUGGGCGUGAGAACUACUAUAAAAACAAGUAGUCCUCAGUGGGUGCCGCCCUCAACAUCAUCGGUCCACCCACUAAGUCUACAGAAGGGAGCUGGGAUAGUACAUAAUGCUGGAACAAAAUCUACAGCUAAGAACCAUCAUACUAUCAUGCUCUAACACUAACAAUCUGUAGAAAAUGUCAAUCCUAAAGCAAUAUCACUCGGGACUGUAACCGUACCCGUCUCAGGGACUGUGAACACACUCGUCCCGCCUGUCGAAGCUAAAACUAUCUCCACACUAAGCAGUCAGUGGAUAGCAAGUCCAAACAGGACACCUCGACAUUAACGCAGAAGCACUAAGCCCGACUCCGGAGUGGCACUCGUAGGCGCUACCCAACCGAGAAUGCAAGCGUAUCUCUGUCGAGCUCAAUCAGGCUCUCGCAGACUAUAGUCAAGUAUACCGGGUCCAACUGGUCUAACAACCAACGAGUCACAUGCCCUCGACACAAUCUGAUGCCAAAACGGCAAUCUGAGUCCACCGUCAAUCCCGACGGCCCCCAACAGUCCGGAACAGUCUGAACACUACUGUAAAAAUAGGCUCGGCAUCCCAGCACGAGCAUAACAGCAAUCUAGACUACUUGGGGUAUCCACCACGCUGAUACUGCGGCGAUACCAAAUAACAACGGCUCCUAAAGCUAAAUUUGGUAGUGUAAGCAUAUGACGGGUUAGAAUCGCGGAUUUUUUCCUAAGGCAAAUCCAAGUCCGCAUGUAUAAGUCAUCCACCAAUAAUACUAUGCUCCAAAUUCAGUUUAGAUGUCAAAGACAUGAACAAUCCACGAAUUCGAGCUAUCACACAUGAAAUGCAUAACACAAAAUAUACAUGCCGUUAACCGAGACUUUAGGAGUAGAAAUCCGAUGAUAAACCCACCUCAAAAGCUAAUCCAACUCCGGCGCGACGUUGAGAACGGCGGAAUCGCACCCUCUCCCGACCUCCUCGCGAUGCUAUGACAACAAACAUGCGCUCGAACGGCUUCGCGACGCGACGUCGGCGACGAAACACUCCACUCGAGCUCCUCCUUGCUCGGCCGAUGCUAGAGAGAGAGAGGGAAGAAGAAACACAACAACCUUCUCUCUCAGCUCCUCUCAAUCCUAUAUAAGCGGUAGAGGAAAGUGGUGAUGUGAACGAGGCACGAAAUGACCAAAACACCCUCUUACCUACCCUGGUGUACCGAUACACGAGCAAGUGUACCGAUACAAAUGGCAACCCGAGAGCAGCUGCGCAAAAUCUGUCGAAGUGUACUGGUGCACCCCUGAUGUUGUACCGGUACAGAAAGUGUACCAGUACACCUUGAUGGUUGUACCGGUACAACAAGCAGAAAAUCUGCUGUUUGCAGAUUCCAAUGCCAAGUCUUGCUCUCGCGUCCCCGCUGAGUCCGUUUUGCGUCUAUUUUGCACCAACGUGACUCGGACUUGUCCCGACACUCUCCAGAGCUGUCGACAAGCCUCUCCUGCUUAACACCAGGGAUACCACAUAUCACUGGAAGGAUUUGAUGAUGCUGAUGUAUAGCAAGUGCCCGAAGACACAGGAUCCUGCAACAAAAACAAAAAUUUCUUUCAAUAAAAUAAGAAUAUAGUUAACAAUUAAAACAUAGUUAUAAAAUUGAUAAAAUUAUCUAGAUAAAGUCAUUUUUCCUACCUGACGACUACCACCAAGGUUAUAAUUUGGCAUUUUUAGUCUUAUAAAUUUCAUAACGGUAACUAAUUGUGACUUCUGUUGGGAAACCAUUUUUUUAUUCUCUUGCACUUCCCCUCUUAACUUUUGUACUUCUUCCAUUGAUUCCGAGUUAUAACACACACAACUUUCAGAUGGGAUCAAUCCUAGCCCUCCCACUCGGCCACCAUACUUUUUUCUUAUAACUUCGAUAUAAAUUUUGUUUUCCAUUGCAAUCACAUCCUCUCGAGAAGAUUCAGAUGUUCCCGAGCAAUUAGCCAAUUUGUCUUUAGCAUCAACCUAUACAAUAAGUUUUGUUAGCACAUUUAUAGAAAGCAUCAACUUAUGAAAGAUAAAAUGACACGAGCAGCAUUCCUACAAACCCAUAGUCCCAAAAUAUGAAACAAUAACAAAAAGAAAAUAGUUUGCUCCACGAGUCCCAGCAAAUAUUCAAACAGUUGAUAUAGGCUACCAGAGAUACACAAUUCAACUUAGACUUUCAACAUUUUCCUUUCAGAAUCAUUUAAACAGAGAGAUGAAAACAUUAAAGGAUCACUUUCUAACUUCACAAUGCAUGCGCAUCGCAUGAAUUAUCAAAAUUACACAUUACCUUUUAAAGAUAUACUACAAAUUUAUAUAGAAAUUAUACGGACAUUACAUGAUAACAACAUUUAGGUUAAAAUGAGAGGUGCAACAUCAUAGCCAGUUUGGCACACUAUUAUUUACUCAUUACGGGGAAUAAACAUCAUGAUAUAAAAGCACAAAUAUAAUAUGUAACAAGAUUUGAUGCUCCACAUAAGUAAAACUAUCAAAUAAGUAUUGCAAGCUUAGUUAUCAACACAUUUAUUCAGCACAUAAGGAUAAUAUCCAAGAGCUCUAGGAUGUUUCAUGUUUAGGAAUUUAAAUUAAAAAAAGACAACGAUUUGACCAUCGACUAUCUAAACGAAUGUUGCAUGGAACUAUACUAAAAGAAUCCAUUAACUUAGACAUGCUAUCUAGCUAGAUUAUAGACAUAUAGUAAAUAUAGAGUUUAAAGCUAACAAACAUAGUAUUAAAAUUACCUUUAAUUUUUUCGCAUCGUCACUUAUAAAUGAUCCAUUUUUUUUCGUGUGAGUUAGUUCGAACAUCUCAACAAGUCCAUGUACUCUGCCAGUUGUAUCUUCCUGCAAAUAUCAUAAUAUAGACAAGUAUAAGAAUGUUGCAAUAACAUAAGUUUUACGACAAUCAAUAAAAUAAAUAGUUACAAUUUCCUCCACACCACCACAUACAACAUCAUAGUAACAAACCAUUACAUAAGAAACAGGGCAAAAGCUAGCAUGAACAUAUAGUGUGUCAUGUUUAGGAUUUGAAACAAUAGAACUAAUUGAUAUAGAAAAGAUAAAUGAAGAAGACGAUGACUUCUUUCUUAGAUUAUUGUAUCUUGGUGUGGCACAAACCAUUAGUUAUCUUUAUAUAGAUUCUUGAAAUGCAUACUGAUAAGGAAACAAUAAGAUAUAUAAACAACCCAUAAAGAAGUGGUUGAUCACAUUUUCGGUAUUCAGAAUCAUCAGAUACCUAACUGAUUUGAAUUCCAAACUAAUUCGUAAUUUUGAUCAUUCUUCAAAGGUGUAUUUAUCUAACAAACAUAGGGAGUUAUAUAUGCAAAAGAUUGUAAAACCUCUCUUAGUAACACCUCCACCCAUCCUUUAUUCUUGCGAAGCCACCAUUAGUUUAAAAACCCAGAAAAGCAAACCAUUAGUAGUAGUAGUAGUAGUAGUAGUAGAACUAUAGUAGUAGGUACUAAGAGGGCCUAUUUUAUAAUAUUUUGCUCUUUUCUUAUCUUUUAUAUAGGCAGUAGAGGGCCUCUUUGUAAUUACCAUCUUUUUUUUCUAAUAUUUUUCCUGCCACAAAACAUAAUAAUAAGCAUCAUUAGAGCUCUUAUAGGUUAUCAUUUGAUUGAGAGAAUGAGAAAAAAACAGAAAAACAAAAACAAAAACAAAAACAAAAUAAUGGUGCUGUUAUUUCCAAGUAGAGAUUACAAUGUCUUUUUCGUGUGGAUUCGGUAGAUUGUUAUUUCCUACUAAUUCCAUGGUGCCUUUGGACUAAUUUAUUUGGUCCUUGAGGUAACAGCAAAUUAAUUGAAAACGUAUUAAGAAAAGAAAUUAUCUGAAAUGGAUUGUGAAUUUACUAUUCUCCUUUUUUUUGUCUUCUUCUCUCUCAUACAUCAAUCAUUAAAAGUCAACCAGAGUAUAGAAAGCAUUAUCUAGAAAUAAAGCAUUGACACCAUUACAUAACAAAAAUAAAUCAUACCUUGGCAACAUCAGAGUAUAAAAAGUCAACCAGGCUCAACCACUGCUACUUUACUGCACCAGGAAGCACAUUCUUACUAGUCUCUUCUUUCGGUUUUGUUCGGUCAAAAUGCUUGGCCUUCAAUUCAGCUUUGUAGUCUUUCCAUUUCUUGUUUAAAGAUCUCAUGACAAAGGCUCGAUACUUUUUUUGAUUGAAAUUGAAAUUUUGACUGCAAAGACAAUAUACACAGAAUUAAAAGAAAUAUAAAUAAUAAGAUGGUUAUAUAAACACAUGUAAACAGUGUAAAAUGUGUCAAAUACCAUGACAAAAGACAAAGCUUCAUUUUUCAGUGCAAUUGGCAUUCAUCUCCAAUUAAUGUAAUUUAGAGGGCAGAAUUGACCAUUUCAUGCAACUAUUCUGCAAAAACCAGCGAGCAACCUUGCCUCCUUAUUUAUGGGUUGCCCUCUUUUGUUAAAUAGAACUUGAAUACGCCAACUCUCAUUCAUUUCCCAUAUCUCCUUUAAUGUUGUGUGACCUCUCUUUCUUUCUCUUUUUCCAUCGUCAUGAACUACAAAAAAGCCAAUGUUAUAAUUAGGCUUUAAUUACGUAUAGGUUAGCUUUAUAGAAAUAGUAUCAUCAAAGUAAAAUGAACCACAAAAAGAAAAAUAUAAGAUAAUACAAAAAAUAAAAAUGAAACAAACCGAUUAGUAGAGCAGUGUAUACAAUUCUCAAAAGGUUAAUUGGGAGUGAAAAAAAAAGAGUCACAACAACCAGCAUUAUAAUGUUGGUAACAAGUACCAUAAGCAACACCAUCAGCAACCAAACUUCCAGAACAAGAUAGAGAUGGAAGCUAUACCUAUACACAGAAGACUACCUCAGAGCUUAAACAUUGGAAGAGGUCUGCACUUCGAUUGCUUGCGUAAGACUUGCAAUCCUCUGCGCUUUACGCAAGCCUAAGCCUGAGUAUAUUUGACAACCUUUUUUUAAUAAAAUUUUUUUUAUUAACAUCACUGAUGGUUUAUAAGAUAUUGGCUAACUUGCCUGAGUUGUCCAACAGGGUCUUAGCCCGGCAUGUUAACUGUUCAGUUCCCACAUCUAUACUUUUGGGAAAGAAAUUGGUAGCAAACCACAAUUCUAAGUGCUCAAACUCUUGUAAGCACAACCAGGACUCAAUAGAACGAAGUGUUAAUGUUUGCAUAGCCUAACAUCUGCCUAACAUCUUGGAGUCAAUAAAAUACUAAGAUCAUGCACAGAAAUGAAAAGAACAAGUGGUUUCUAGAACUGCAAGUUCUGAUCCACAAACUGAUGCAUAAUCUAGCUAAUUUGCAUGAUUGGACCACUCAUUAAUCAGAUUUAAUUUUCCAGUGCCCAAUAGCUCAGCUAAACACAAGUACCAAGAUUUUAAAAAAAUAUGACAACCAAACCAAAGCAGCAAAACUGCAAUAUAUGAGAAUGUUAGAUAUCUCAAAACCGAACCAAAGCAGCUACAAAAAUUUUUCUUUCAGAGUGAGACUUUUACACAAGAAUGGAAUACAGAUUCCUAUAUUAUGAGGUUGGUUAGAUAUCUCAAAUCCUGACUAUAAAUGAUGGCAUUCAGCCUUUUCAUUUUACUCACAUCUUGCCUAUUUCAUGCCUUUAAGGUUAGAACCGUGAGUUUCCUGAAUGAGAUCCUCAUCAAAGACAUGUUUUAAUAGCGUGCAAAUAGUAAACUGGAAGAGGAAUAGAACAUUCUUCAGUCACAAGGAAGCGUAAGCAACUAAACUUGUAAAGUGCCUUCUUUUGUCUCAUAAAACUAAUUUAAGAAAUCAAUACUCAGAUUGAAGCAGAUUUUAUGCAUGCUUAAGCUCUGCAAAUUUGCUACACCAUCGAAUCACAUGCACUACACAAUCCCCCAGAGAGUAAAGCAAAGAGCUAAGUCAUUUAAUGCCUAGUUCUUUUAUAAAAUACUAUUAAGGUGAUAAGAUUGAUGAAAAACAACCCUGGCCUACAUAUGAAGAGUAUAGCUAACUAAAUCCAAUAGAAGCAAUCAACUUUUAGCUAUGGCUUACAUAUAGAAAACUAAAAGAAACAAAUAGAGAAUUUGCACUAGCUUCCCAUAUAACCAAUUCUCUGCCACCGGUCACCUGUGCUUAAAGAUAAAUUAAACAUUACCAUGCUAUCAAACAGAGAAUUUUUGAUAAAUCAAAUUCAACUGGUUAUCAUGAUUACUAAACAAAUACUAUCAAACAGAAAACAAAGUGAAAGGCAAGGACAAAUGACUAGAAUGAUUCCCAGCAUUUACAUAUUAUAUGAGCCAACUCUAAAAUCCCAAAAAAAAACCACGUAGCUGUACUGUGGUCCAUUACUAACAACAAAAAAAAAAGAGAAAGAAGCUAAGUUUGGCAUUAUCUUUUUUGCAUAAUAUGUAACUACCCUAAAAUUAUAUAGGUCCCUUUAUAUUUCAAUAGUAUUUACUCAACAACCCAACAAACAAACCCAGAAUAGUUAUGUAGAUUAAGGGCAUCAAGUUGGAUGCAAUUGCAGAUUAACCAAAAAAUAAUAUAUACAAGCAAAGAGCGCGAACCCACCGAAAAACUAAACACUCGUUGCAAUCAAUGAUAAGUUUUCUUGCAUAAUAACAAAAACAGAACUUCAAUUACAUUACAUAGUCAUUAACAUUUCCUGGUCCAGUUUCCUAUUUAUGGAGCAACAAAAGGAGAAUAAUAACCUGAGAAAAGGCUUCUUUUACACCAAAACCCUAAAAAGAUCACCUACAUUACCAUCUCAACAUGAACGCGACAUGUAAAUUGAAUCCACACACAGAUCAUCAAAAGAUCAACAAAAUGAAGUGCUCCCAACAACAGGGCUACUAGAAACCGUAACAUUGAUCCCACCACAAACGAAAUCCAAGAAACGUAAACAACAACAAGUAUCAUUAAUCCACGGGUUAAACAAAGACAAAACCCUAGACACAAAAACCCUAAUCCAAAACCAAGACAAGCAGAUUAAUCUAAAAGAUAACCCAGUUGAGCAAAUCACCUGAACACGUCCUAGGCGGCUUGUCGUACCUUCGCGUGCGACUCGACGAAGGUCCUCCUAAGCUGCGAUCGCGUGUGACUCGACGAAGGUCCUCUUAAGCGAUGAUCGCGUGCGAGCUCAAGAGGAAUCACCUCGGCGAAGGUCCUCCCAAGCGACGAUCACGUGCGAGCUCAAGGGGGAUCGCCUCGGUGACCGAUCCUUCCCAAUCCAGCCAUCGUGUGUGAGGUUGAGAGGAGCGGACGAGUCGAAAACCUUAGAAAAUGGUUGAGGAGAAAACCCUAGAGGAGAAGAGGUUGGAGGAGACGAUGUGGGAUUCGAUCCGCGAGGGAGAAAGGGAGAUGUCGGGUUUUGGGUCUGUGUAGAAGAGGGAGAGAGGGAGAGAGAGAAAAAGAGAGAUGGGUAAUUUGGGCCUAGAAAGAGAGAAAGAGAAGGAGAUGGCUAAUUACUUAUGAGCUAGGCCCAGAUAAAGAGAGGAGAAAUAUAUAGUUUGGGCUACUAUUUUGGGCCGGCCCAAUUCAAAAAGCCGCUAAAUAAGUGUCGCCUUUUAACUAAUUUCCUGUAGUGUACCAUCUUUGAAGAAUUUUAAGUAGACACAAUGGUCAUACUUACUUCUUUGGAAUCCACAGCUUAGCAUAAAAGUGUCAAACUUUCGAUACCAUUGUCUUGAUGCUUGUUUAAGUUCAUACAAUGAUUUCUUGAGCUUACAUACAAGAUGUUCUUUAUCCUUCUCUAUGAAGCCUUGAGGUUGAUACAUAUAAACCUCUUCUUCUAAAUCUCCAUGUAAAAAUGUUGUUUUAACAUCUAAUUGCUCAAGUUCCAAAUCAUUCAUAGCAACAAGACUAAGAACAAGCCGAAUAGAAAUCAAUUUAACAACAGGAGCAAAUACUUCAAAGAAAUCCAUACAUUCCUUUUGUGCGAAGCCUUUAGCAAUCAAUCUUGCUCUAUACCUUUGAAUUGUCCCAUCGGUUCCUCUUUUGAUUUUGUACACCCACUUGCAACCAAUUGCUUUCCGGCUCUUUGGUAACUCCACCAAAUUCCAAGCUUCAUUCUUGUGAAGUGCCACAAUUUCUUCCUCCAUUGCUUCUUUCCAAUGCUUUGCAUCAAUAGAAUUUAUGGCUUCUAGAAAUGUGCAUGGCUCUUCUUGUUCCACAAUUAGUGCUCGAAAUGUAUUUGGAUCUACAAAAUCCUUCAAAUGCAAAGGUGUGUGUCGCUCUCUUGUAGAACAUCGAGACAAGUCAUGUAUUUCUCCACCUUCAUUAGAACUUUCUUCUUCAUUGAAAUUUUCAUGGGUUUGAUCAUCGACCUCACCAUAUUCAAUCGGUGUAUCCUCCCAUUCAAUGUCUUCAUUUGGUGAGAAAGUUGAAGAUGGAAGUUCAAAAUUUUGAGUAUCAUUCCGGACUUCUUCCUCCUCGAUGCUUUCAUGUUCUACACCCUUUUUCAACACAUUUGAUUCAUCAAAAUAAACAUCACAACUUGUGAUAAUUUUGUGAGCCACCGGAUCCCAUAACCGAUAUCCUUUCACACCUUUUGUAUAACCAACAAAUAUGCAUUUUCUUGAUCUUGGAUCUAGCUUAGUUCUUUGACAACUAGGAACCAAUGCAAAAGCAUGACAACCGAAUAUUUUUAGAUUAGAAUAAUCACAAGGAGUUCCGAACCAUACCUCCUCCGGUGUCUUUCCAUUUAUAGCCAUGGAAGGUGAGCGGUUGACAAGAUAACAUGCCAUGGACACGGCCUCCGCCCAUAACUCGUGCUCCAAAACCGGCAUUGCUCAACAUACUACGAGCCCGCUCUAUCAAUGUACGGUUCAUCCUCUCGGCCACCCCAUUUUGUUGUGGAUCAUACGGAUUUGUAUAGUGUCUUGAGAUGCCAUUCUCUUUACAAAAGAGCUCAAACACUUUAGAUUUGUACUCCAAACCAUUGUCCGAUCGGAGAACUUUAAUGCGGCGUCUGGUGAGAUUCUCUAUUUCAGCCUUGAAGGGUCACGCCCCGAGCCUGAUCCUUUUGGCCGGUUCGAGAGCGUCAACAGACGCCGAACGGACAGAGUCUCCCCUGUCUGCCCAAGGCUCAACAACAAGUAUCAAUAGAGUAUAAAUUUGCAUAAGCGGAAACAUACAAAAUGGCUUGCACGAGGGCAAGCAAUAGCCAAUAGUGAAAGUAAACAACUAUACUUAGGAAUUUAAUUACAAUUUGCAUCAUUUCUUUUUACAUCCCAAUCUUCCAAAAUGUAACAUUGAUAUUAAAUGAAUUCUUUUACAUCAUUCAUGUCCUUUCAUUAAACAACUAUAAUCAUCAAAGUACAAAAGAUGAUAUAUCAAAAGGGGUAUGCAACUAUGAAAUGAAACAUCUCGGGCGGUCUCUACCUAGGGCGCGAUGCCCUUACCACGGUCGUCAGCCGGCUCGCUCGGUCCUGGCUCUCUGGAAAUAGGGGUGUGAGAACUACAACAAAGUUUCCAGUGGGUUCGGCAACCAACCACGCCGACUAUCCCACUAGGUCUAAUCAGGCAUAAUAGAAUAGAAGAAAGAAAGUAACCAACUAACAAAUGCAACUAAUAUGCCUGAACAAUAUAAAAUGCGAUGCUCGAUAUAAUGCACAUGAUGAAUGCAGGAUCACGAUUACUUUACCCAAUCUCGUGGCUAACCCGUAGGUGUCGCCCUCAACAAACUCACAAAUCCAAAAUCCUAUUUAACCGGAGAGAGACCCGCUACAACCCGAUAGGACUGUCCUCUGGGGAGAUACCCGCUACGACCUAGUGAUGUCGACUCCGGAGCACAUCGCCCGAGGGGGAGCUACCACCCUCGAGCAAGGACUAAAGGUGAGUACGAUCAAUCCUACAUUGAGGAUUCCAAGUUCAAUCCAUUCCUUAACUUUAAGGAAGACCAUGCUCAAAUGACUUCGAACUCUAAGGUUGAAAUAUCAUAAUGUCCCAAUCAUUCUUUUCUUUGCAUUCUUUACUAUCACUAGUGUCAUAUACACUACCUAGUUUUGUACUCAUGCCACACUUGUUUUCUAAGCGCUAUGUUCUUGUUCUCAUGCCAAAUGCCACACUUAUUUUCUAAGUGUUCUAGACUCAUCAAUGUCACCCACUAAAUCUAUGUCCAUGUGUCACUUUUGUUCACUAACCCUUCUAGAUUCUUGUCACUUGUCAUGCAUACAUAGGGUUACAAUUCUCACAUUCUUAUCAAUAUUUCAUACGCAAUUAAAUUUACAAUCAUGCAAUAAAGCUCACAAUUAACCCUACUAUGCAAGAUGCUCAAUAUAUAUUUAUAUGUUCAAACAUGACACUUUAGACAUAAAGAAAUUUCCGAGGUCCUUGGAAUGCACCACCCACCUCAAGUGGUCGUGUGGGCGUAGAAUAUGACGACUCCCGAACUUUACGAAAGCCGAUACCGUGACCUACAACCAAAUAGUGCCAUAUUAGGCCAUUUGUACAUGAAUCAUACUUAAACAUUUUCGUAACGUCGAACGGAGUUGUCCAACGUGCCGAGGACACCCCCAAUUAGGUUUCUACAAGGUCAAUUUGUCUUAGAAACACUCGGGGCCAAAAGCCCCAAAUUUGGUGCCCUAACCAAACCCAUUGUUAAACCCUAGGUUUUGAUCUCUAAAACAAGCAAAAGAGAGCUUGUCUAACCUCUAGGAGCUCAUUUAGAACCAUCCCAACCAUCUCUAGGGCUUAAAAUGCAAACCCUAGAAAUCCCCCAUUAGAGCACCAUGAAGAAAACUAGGGUUUCAUGGUAUUCAAAGCUCUACUACUCUUCUAAAGCCUCUAAAGAGACCAAAACUCCAAAAUCUAAGGUUAAACUCCAAACCCUAGAGCUCUACAUGCUAAAAACUUACCUAGGCCCAAGUUCUAGUAAGCUCCUUCUUGUUGGAGAGCUUCUAGGACCACCAAAGCCACCAAAAAUCCCUCCUCAAGCUUCUUCUUCUUCUUCUCCUUCAAGCCCUAGGUGAUUUCUAGAGAGAGAGAGGAGAGGAAAUGAGAGGGAGAGGUGUGUGUGUGUGUGAAUGGCUGUAGAGGGAGAGGGGGUUGGGUAUAUAAGGUGUUGUAACAUUUACAACAAGACCCCUCCACUUUAUUCCCUGUGCACUGCCCAAACUGGACAUUUUUCACAGUGAAGGACCGGUCUCCCCGACUAGGGACCGGUCCCCGAGAGCUCCUCCUGCGGACAGGGCAGGCUACGGGCGAUGCAACCGGUCUCCCUCAAUGGGACCGGUCUCUCCUCGCAAGGACCAGUUCCCGAGAGCUGAUUUUUCAGGACUUAGUCGAUUCCUCGGCCAUCUCGCUGCCUACGCGUUCGGGGACCGGUCUCUCCUACCAGGGACCGGUCUCUCCCACCAGGGACUGGUCCCUGAGAGCACAAAACCUGCAGUUUGCAAAUUUUGAUUUCCAAAGCUCUCGAAAGUCCCCCGUAAUGUACUUUUGCAUUAUUCGACGCCUUCGGCCUCUCCGAAGUAUACCAAUCUCGCACUUUGGUCAAUUUGACCAAGGUUCGAAUUUAAUUACCGAGGUUUCGGUAUGUUACAUGAAGUGCUUAAAUGCUUGAAAUGCCUCACCUUUCGACUUAAGAAAUUUCACCCAAACCUUUCGUGAGAGGUCGUCAAUAAAUGAUAUAUAAUAAUUGGCACCACCAUAUGAAGUAGUAGGAGAACUCCACACAUCCGUGUGAAUGUAGUCAAGAAUAUCUUUACUUGUAUGACUCCCGGCUUUGAAGCUCCACUUAUGAUGUUUUCUAUAGACACAAUGCUCACAAAAUUUCGAGUCACUAAAAGUAAUAUCCGGUAUAAGUUUCUUCUCUACUAAAAUCUUUAUACCCUUCUCACUCAUAUGCCUUCUAUGCCAUAGUCAAAGAGAAAGGUCAUCAUUUUCCGUCGCCGCAUAAGUUUCAUCCGUCAUUGUACUCCCCAAUAGCUUGUACAAGUUUCCAACCCGAAUGCCAUUCACGACAACCAAUGCACCUUUGGAGACUUUUAUAACUCCACCUUGCCCCGUAAAUUUGUAGCCUUUGUUGUCCAAUUCGGAGAGAGAGAUCAAACCUUUCUUCAAAUCCGGAACAUGUCGAACAUUUUCAAGUACCUGGAUCAUUCCAUCAUACAUUCUCAAGCGUACCGAACCAACUCCCACCGUUCUACUAGUUGAGUUGUUUCCCAUCGAAAUGGUACCACCAUCGCAUUCCUCAUAGGUAAUGAACCAUGAACGAUGUGGGCACAUAUGAUGAGUAGCGCCACUAUCAAGAAUCCAAUUUUGAUGAAACACCGAACUAGAACCCGCCAUUAAGACCUCAUCAUCAAUAACACCCAAUGUUGUCUCUUCAACUUAAUGUGCUUUAUUGUUCAAUUCCGAGUUUUGUUUACCACUACUUGAUUCACCAUUGUCCCUUCCGCCAUUUGAGCCUUUUCUUUUUAGACAAUCUUUCUUCAUAUGUCCGGAUUUGCCACAAAACCAACAAAGUCUUUUGUCAUUCCGAUUUCUAGACUUUGAUCUAUUCUUUAACUUGCUUCUUGAAAAAUGUUUUGACAUAUUUUUCACGUUCUCUAUAAUGACCUCUUACUACAAGUGCUUCCGUUUCACCCUCCGAACUUCCCAAAGUUAUUUUCUUUCGAAGUUCAUCGGCUAACAAUGCACUACAAAUGGUAUCCAAGUCAAGAGAAUCUUCUUUAGUGCAACUUAAACUUGUAAUCAAAGUCUCAUAGGAAUCCGGCAAUGUGCAUAACAAAGUGAUGGACUUAUCUUUGUAAGAUAUGGAUCCCGAGGAUCUAAAAGGUAAGUAACACCUAGAGGGGGGUGAAUAGGUGUAAAUCCGGCAAACUUGAAAAAUCUCGAUGCAAACAAAACACAAUAGCGGAAAUUAAAAUAGCACACCGAGAAUUAAACGUGGGAAAACUCCAAUUUGGAGUGAAAAACCCACGGGACUGAUCACGCAAAGAAAAUCCACUAAGAAAACUUGAGUACAAGUGAUUUCGACCAAAAACACACGACUCAAUUUACCGAUUUCUCGUUGACGGUGAUCUUUGCCGGUCCUCGAUCGAUAGGAAUCCACCAAUCGACCUUGCUGCAACUCCUCGCAGCGUCAACGCCUCAACUCCUCGAAGCGUCCACCGAAUCCUCGGCUUCACGCGAGAUCCACGCGCCGAACCUCCUUCCGGAGCUUGUAGAAUUGAAGAUUUGCGGUGAUUUAACUUUUGAAAACCAUAAGCUAUGAGGGUUCACCUUUAAUCAAUCAUCUACUUGAUUCUCGUAAGAAGUAUCGAGUAAAAACGAAGAAUCAAGCCGAUGUUGAUUGCUAGAAACUCAUCAUGUAAAUCGAAGCAUUGAAACGGGAAGAAAACAAGUUUCUAGGGUUUGGAAUUGGUAAAAUAUUCAAAGCCUUAAUUUUAGAUGACCCACAUAGCUUAUUUAUAUGUUUAGAAGACUUAGAAGUAGACUAGGAUUGCAAAAAGUCGAUUUCAAAAACCUGUGUCGUCCUCAGAGACCGGUCCUGUCGAGGAGACCGGUCUGUGAGAGACCGGUCUCUCAAGUGAGGAACCGGUCCCUCCCUGCGUGACCAAAAACCCCACGUUCGGGAACCGGUCUCUCAAACUUGAGACCGGUCCCUCGCUGCGCGACAGAACCACCAAGGUUCGGGAACCGGUCUCUCAUCACAGGGGACCGGUUGCAUCAAGGUUUACGCAGUGAGGACCUUGGGGGAACCGGUCUCUCCAUUUCAGAGACCGGUCCCAGAACACAAGAAAGUUCAGAAAAGUUGUUUAAAAACAAUCUAAGCCUUCUGAACUUAUUUUAAUUAUGUAUCUUCACCACAAAUGAUCUUUUCUUCAUACCUUAGGUGUCGAUCUUUCCGAAUGAGUCUUUGUCCUCCAAUUUGAAUCUUUUCUCAAAAACUUCUGCGAUCAACUCUUCAAGACUCCAAACAACUUUAUGAAAUUCGCCAACCUAUAAAAUCCUUAACAAUCUCCCCCUUUGGCGAUUUCGUGACAAAAUAUACUACAAAGCUCGUAUACAACCAAUAAGUCAUAAAAAGAAGAUCAUCGCAAUCACCAAUCGAUAAUCUCCUGCAUAAUCAAUCCAAUAAACAAAAUUUACACUUUUACAACCUUAAUACAAACUCUAUGACUUAGACUUGGAGUCUUGAAGUCUUGAAUUAUUCCUGCAAAAACAUUCUCAAAGCAUAAUCAAGAUUCAAGUAUCAAGAAGUAUCAAGAAGAUCAAACAAUCAACUAAAGUUCACACUUCAUAGUUCAUAGUUAAACUAAACGAAAGCAAAGCCCUAAGCUAAAUGCAUCAUCAUCAUCAUCAUCAUUAAAACCAUCCCAUAUCAUCUCCCCCUUUUUGUCAGAAAGCGCCAAAACGACAAAAGGAGAAGCUCGGCAAAUCCUAAUCAGAAUUAUCUCCCGGAGGCAAAUCCGCCCGACAACAUCCUAACUUGUCAAAAAUCAUAUUCAACAAGCGCUUCAUCUUGCUCACAUCCUUACGAAUUGCAGCUUGUUCUGCAGACAACUUCUGAAGCUCCUCAGAUAGACGUUGCUGCUCGCGAUACACCGAAGAAACGGAAAUAUCCUCCUCAGAAAUGUCCAUAGAAGGACGUGAAGAAGUAGCAGUAGCAGGAGGUGGAGCUGCAGGAGGCGAAGAAGCACGUUGAGACGGCGUACGAAGCUGCACCGAGGACUUUACAAACGUCCUUUCAUUGAUCCCACCCAAACUGUGCUCAUAUGAGGUACACCUAACAUCCACCUCACGAAGUCGCAAAAUCCGCAUGAUUAUCAUAGGAAAUGGUAACCUCUCAUUUUGCCCAGAGGUUUUGAUAUCCUUCGCCAUCCGCCGCCAGAUCAAAAACGGAAUAUUCAUGUUAAUGUUUUUCGCACUCACAAUAUCUGGCCUACCCAAGAGAUACAUGUACAGAAUCCGAUCCCAUCUCAAGAUUUUCGUGUUCGCGAGAGGCAUGAUGUUGUAGCAAACCACAAAGUUCAGAAAUCUGUACUCCAUUUUAAAAUCCUUGGACAUAACCAUAAUUCCGUUUGAAUCAGUACCCGGCAUGCAGAUAGUGUUCACGACACGGUUCCAAUCGCGUAGUGAGUCGAACCCGGCCUGCAAAUACUCCACUCCAUCAGUCUUAGCUUCCAUCUCAAGCACCGAAGCUAUUGUCGCAGGAGUGAUGGAUAACUCAACACCACGGACAGAAGUCUUAGAAGUCAGUCUAACUUCAUCACAGACAAAACCUCAAAAGGGGGGCUCCCUCUUCUUCUUCCCUCUGUCACCAAAUACAGAAAAAUCUGAUAAUCUCUCAAAAGGACUCCACAAAUAGAGAGGAAAAGCGGCUGAAGGUCAACAUCCAUGCUACACAUCGUACGGGGCUUUGGGCAUAAUAGCGUCUGACUGCCUAUAUAAAAGUCUUGUAAAAACGAAAGCUAUUGCAAGCCUACUAUUGGACGACUCCUCAUCCUGACGAUCUACUUUCGAGCGAAGAGGAUGUAAUAUGCCACGCACUGUUUGCACCACGGAUUCAACUUUUCAUCGUGUCUAGCAUCUACUCGACCUCCGAUUUUCUACGACAUCUAUACAGAGAAGUCAUCUUCGGAAACCUCAUCGGAUGAUGAUAUCGGACGAAAGAUGACAUGGUCCUGCAGCAAUAUCACAAUUAGUGUUGAAUCAAAGAAGAUGGCUAAACAUAACAAGAAAUUGCCGGCCGUAGCUACAUGAGUUGGAACCAAGAAAAGUCAAAGUUGCCUCUCUAACAAAGAUUUAGAAAGAGAGAGAUUGGGUUGACCAAGGCUUACAAAUUCUUUGCUUGAGAAGUGUUCGUUAUUGGAAAAAGAUAUAGGAGACUCAGGUGGAUGACAUCAAGUAUCUUAACCAAACAAGAUUCAGAACUAGGAAAGCCAAAUAUGAAUUCACCAAUGACGAUCAUCUCACUGAAGUCGGACUUGAAAAUUUAUCUGGUUCGAGCAAACUAAUAAGAUGCCUUGACUUCGGUCAGACAAUAACCUUGGUACUUGGUUACGCACGACAUAUAUUGAUUAAGUCUACGAAGAAGGAUGAUGGAAUGCUCCGUGCAACGUGCUGUACCUAAAACUUUAAAUGUAGUUUGUCCUCCAAGAAAUAAUUUGGCUCAAACCUUGUCUAUUGUGGUGUUUUUAGGACACAUAAAAAAUUCUGCUACCAAAAGGGAAAGAGCUCAAUAGCUCUCUUUAAGAGUAACCCUCAAAAAUGACAAUGAAGUCAAUGUGACUCCAAAGAAGAUUAAAAAAAGAAGAGCCAAUUCGAACACCCAAACACCUCGAAGCCAAAGGCAACAAGCUGGAAACCAAGAAGGGGAUAUGAAGAGAAGUCAAUUCAAAUCAUCAGACAAGCCACGAUCACAACAAAAGCAGCGAACUGACACAACCAAACACGUAAAGGUUUGGGUCCGCAAAAGUCAUCAUUUCCCAUGACUACAGUCAUUCACACUUCACUUCAUGCUUAAUAACUCAUCUUGUAUCUGGAUAGUGGCGUUCUCGUCACAUGACUGCGCGAGAUAAAAAUUGGGUUUACUUCUUUGACCAAAAUUCCGGAGACUUGUUGUCUUUGGGGACGGUCAUCCGUCCCAAUAAUCGUUGGAAAAGGACAGUGACUUCUCAGACGGCCCUACGUUGAAUGAUGGUUUUUUUAUGUUGAAGGGCUAAAUCUAAUCUCGCUAAGCAUAAGUCAAUUGUGUGAUUGACGGGUAUUUCAGUGACUUUUCCUGAUAAAGAUGCCAUGUGACUCGGAUGACAAUCAUUUUAAAGGGCAUUAGAGUUCUAGAAUAAUUGUUUUACUGUAGUCCUAGUUCCGGCCACUGAACAUUGUUUUAAAACCUAGCGUCAUUAGAACGAAAACUUUAUUGCAGAACGACUAGUCACAUCAAUUUUAAGGAGCUAUCUAAAUAACAAGAAAGUAGUUAGAGUGUAGCCUAAGAUUGACUAUAAUAGAGAACACUGCGUGUGUGGGGGUUGCCAAUUAGGGACACAAACUAAGAUCACACAUAAGAACUUGAACCCACUUGGACACUAAACUCUAGAGUUACUUCACAAUGGACUUGAUGGGACCAUCUAGGAUUCAAAGUUGGGUGGAAAAACGUUAUAAUUCUGCCUCUUGUUGAUGACUUUACUCGCUAUGUAUGGAGUGCUUUCUAUACGAGAAACAAGCUGAUACUUUUAAUUCCUUUUCUCGAAAUCCCGUCUCCGUCUAUGACUGAAGAAUGAUAAAAUUGUACGCCAUUCGACGGUCAAGGGGGAGAAUUCAAUAUAAAUUCCUAAUUAUGUGAUUUCUGUGUUUCAAAAUGGUAUAUAAAACAUGAAUUCCUCGGCCCCCUAUUACACCAAACAAAAUGGAGUGGUUGAACGUAUAGAAUCGGGUAUGUACAGAGAGUAUGCUCGUGUUGCUUCAUAGUAAGAAAUUGCUUUACAUUUUUUGGGCCGAAAGCGGUUAACAGCUGUCUAUGUCAUCAAUUGCGGAUUAUAUGUACGUCUCCGGGCACGUUGAAACACCUUAUGAACUUUGGCUUGGUAGAAAACCUAACAUUAAACUUUCGUGUCUUCGGGAGUAAAUGGUUUUAUCCUUCGGGAUUCGCUGAAAAUCUUGGAAAUUUGACUCUCGCAGUGACGAAGGGGCAAUAUUUCUUGGUUAUUCUACUACAAGUCGUGCCUAUCGUGCUUACAAUUUACGAACUAAGACGGUGAUAAGUCUAUCAAGUAUAAAAGUAUGAUGCAAGCUUCUUUGUAUUCUUUCUGUGAAUGGUUUCUUCAAAUUCCUUGAUGAAUGACGAUGAAUAAUGAUCUCCGUUGUAAUACCUGUGAAUAUAAUAUUUCUAUACCUGAUAAUUCCAUUGCAUCUUCUGAAAACAUUGCAUCAAUGAUUCAUCUGAGCAACAAAAUAUCACGCCUGAAAUCCCUAGCGGUAUCUCCUGAAACUAUUCCCUUUGACUGAGUCAAGAGAUCAAUCCUUUGUUCAAAUGUGAUCUGGGGGAUCUAAUGUUUGGUGUGCGAAAGGAGUCAGUUAACAAUGUGAAUUUGCAUGUUAUGUUCUUUGAUUUGACCAAAGAAUGUUGACCGAAGCCUUUUGAUGAAUAUUUGGAUAUAAUAUGCCUAUGCAUAGAAGAACUUGGCUCAAUUGUUUCGCAAUAUGUAUGCGGAAUUGGCUGCCUCGUCCUGAGCAACAAACACAUUAUUGGUACGCAAAGGAUCUUUAAGAAUAAAGAAUCAAUAAAGAUGGUACUAUCGUACGGAAACAAAAGUAGACUUGUGGCUCAGGGGUAACUCUCCAAAUUGAGGGGUAUAGACUUUUGAAGAAACUUUCGCUCCGGUUGCCGUCUUGGAGUCUAUUCCGUAUCUUGUUCCCCGAUUGCUGUCACUUUUAAUAACCUGCUCUUUCAAAUGGAAUCUCCAAGUGCGUUUUUAAAUGGAUUUUUAAAGUAGGAACGUUUAUGUUACAACCGAAAGUUUUAUAAUAGACUCAAAAUUUCUCAAAACUCACUGUUUUUUUCGACUCUGAAAAAAGCUACUUUAUGGUAUUAAAACAAGCCUUCCGCGAGGCAUGGGUACGACACGUUAACAAAAUAUCUUUUGGAAAAAGGGCUAUAACCGAGGAGGAGAGCAGAUAGAACUCUUUUGUGGAAAGCAUCUGAAGAAAAAUUUCAUUGUAGCAACAAUAAUAUGUGGAAUGACAUAGUUUUGGGGCUACUAAAGAUAGGAUGCCGCUGAUUUGCCAAAGUUAAUGACCAGUGAGUUUGAGAGUCAAUGAUGGGAAACUUAAUUAUUUCCUCGGCCUUCAGCAAACAAUCAAAAGAUGAAUUCAUUUGUCACAGACAAAAGUAUGCGAAAGAACUAGUUAGAAAUUCGAAUUAGACAGUGAAAAGGAUUUUGCACUUCCGAUGGUCACAAGCAACAAAGGAUUGGGAGUGAAUCAGAAGGUCAGAGUGUGGAUAAGAAACAAUUACAGAAGCAUGAUUGGUGCCUUUCUGUAUCUGACUGCGAGCAGACCUGAACAUUGCGUUUAGUGGUUGAGAUAUGUGGCCGUAUCAGGCUUAAUCCUAGGAAGUACAUUUUGAAGCAGUUAAAAGGAUUAUUCGAUAUUAUAAAGGAACAAACGGAGUAUUCGGACCUAUGGUAUCCUAUGGGGACACGUCUCUUGACCUAAUCGGCUACUCGGAUGCUGACUGGGUCAGGCUCCGCAGAUGAUCGGAACAAGUACUAGUGGGCUUGUUUUUACAUCGCCAUCUGUUUGGUUGCUUGGCACAGAAGAACAAAAUUGAGAUCUGCUCUUUCCACUGCAGAAGCUGAAUACAUAUGCAGCUUGGAAGUUGCUUCUACUCAAUUAAUUUGGAUGAAAAAGCUUACUAAGCGACUAUCGGAUCUCCUCUACCACUCGACUAUUUUGUGUGACAACAGAGUUGCAAUUAAUAUUCCUAAAAACCCUGUUUACAUUCUCGAACAAAAUACUUGAAUUAAAGAUAUCAUUCGUUUUAAGGAACUGGUGAAUCAAUGUUUUAAACUUGAAUACAUUUUCAUACUGAAAAUCAACUUGCAGAUAUUUUAAACCAAACUUGGAUAAAACGUUUUCUGCAUUUGAGGAAGGCAAUUGGUAUGACCAUCAAUCUAGAUAUAUAUUCUAUUGAGCCAACAGAUCAUGUGCACUGGUGUCAUAUUUGUUUUCUUUUCUUGCAUGAUUUUUCAGUAUUUACAUAGAUUUGAAUUUCAAGAUAAUCUUGCCUGUUCUUUGGAACGUGUUAAUUGGUACUAUGAUCUGAAUUUUUCAUAUAUUUUAUUUUUUGAUUGAUUCACUGUCAGGGUAUUCUUCUAUUGCAUCAAUUUUAAAACGAUUCAAUCAUAGUAAGAUCUCUAGUUAACAUGUCUGAACUAUGUAUUCACAUCACCUGUUACAUUGCGCUUCGACUUUGAAUGUGCAUAUCAUUUUGUUUGAUCAUUAUUUUGAAGCAUGAUAAAUCUUUCUCUGUUUUGAAAUAACUAUAAAUCAUUUUUAACAUUGAGGGUUGCACUAAUUUAAGGGGAGUCUGUUCUAAUUUCUACUUGAAUAUUUCUUGAAAAUCAAAGUAUGUGGACAAGAAGUUAACAUCCCUGCUGGGUAGUGUGAAAACAUCAACUCACACCUGGAGGAAAAGGAGCUACCACCCGCGUCGCCGGUUAGUGUGCUGCAGCUACCACAUGUUAUUAAAGUAUCUAUUGAGACAAUAAGACAAAUAGCCACUCCUGCAACAGAAAAAAAAUAAGGAUACAAUAUGCUCAAAAAUGCUAUACAUUCUUGUGUGGUGAUAUAAGUGGAAAUGUUAUAAAAGAGCUGCAAUAGAGGCCACUCCUGUCUCCAGACGAUGUGCAUAACUCAUUUUAUGCAUAUAUAGUUCAAUUCACAAUUUUGAGAAAUAUAUUAUUUCCAUUUUCUUUAAACAAAAUAUGAUGAUAAUAAUAUACAAAUUUAUUUCUAAAGAUACGUUCAAUGAUGUGUGGGAAUUUUAAUUUUAAUAUAGCUAUCAAGAAUUCUUAUUGAUUUUCGGUUAAAAAAUUUUGCAAUUUUGAAUAUCCCUGAAAUUGAUUUUUCAAAUUUCAUUUAUCGAAUUCUUAUUUAAAUUUGUUUUGCGAUGAAAAUAAGUUUUUUGUGAUGAUAUAAAAUAUUAAAGAAAUACCCUUAUAAUUAUUUUAUUGAAUUUUCGGCUGUUUUGAAAUUUUUGAAAAUUUUCGUCUCGGAGACCGUCUCAGGUAGAGAGACCGGUCCCUCCCGCGCGAAACCGAUAUAUAGGCCUUUGCGGUUUCUCAUCUUUUCACUUUUACCCAUCUCGAGCUAGGUUUUUUUCUCCAGAGCUUCUAAGUUCCCAGGGUGUUUUUGCCUUCAAAAUCUUCAUCCCAAUUUCAACUGAAUUUUUGGUAUAGUGAUUCUCGGAUUUUAUUCUUAGUGUAUCCCUAGAAUGUCCGGUUAUGCUUUAUUUCAAAUUUUUUGAGAAAUUUGUUUUAUUAUGAUUUUAGAUCUAUUGCCAUUUUGUCCCUGAUUAUCGCCCUCGAACGUGUAGUAUAACAUUUUUCAUGCAUUGUUCUCAUUGAUUUUGAUACAAAUUGUUUGGUUUUGUGCUCUUAUUGUUUCCAUCAAGACCUAAUUUUUCAAAAUUUUCGAAAAAUUGGGUUUUUAACUGAUUUUUUGAUGCAUGAAAUUUAUAUGUUUUUAUGAUCAUGUGGCCAUAGGAUUAUCUAAUAAUUUAUAUACGCAAUUGCUGAAAUUUUUGUUUUUAAGGAAAUUUUAUAUGCAAAUUCAUAUAUAUGUUUCAACAGUAAUGUUUCAAAAUGUACUCGUCGGUUCUCGUGCUAGUGUCCUUUAUGGCUGGGGGGGUCGGAGUAGCUAAGCGACACUGGGCGCCUUCGCUAAUGAGGCCGGUUGAGCAACAACCGAAGAUGAAGGUAGUGACGUAUGCCCCGGGUGAUUGAAUCUAGAGGAAGACAGACAUGAUUCGGGUAGAACUUUUGUUCCUGAGCUUGUUGCUAAGAAGAAUAGGACGCUGGGAAAGAAGGGAAACGGAAGAACUGUGGAUAAAGGCAGAGACUGCGCUAGUCGUCGUAAGUCGGGGUGUUGAAUUCGAGAAACGCGGGCUCUGAACCCACCACGGGUCGGCAGUUUAGCAGGUAUGUUCCAUGCUACACGGACCGGUCAAUGUAUUGUCGACAACACUGUAUGCGCCGAGCGACCGAUGUUGGCGGGUGGCCAGCUAUAUAGUUGUGCUCCCGGGGUCUUUCCAGGAAUUUGUUUGACACCGGGAAUCUUCAAUCCAGAUUUGUGAAUCUUCCGCGAGCAAACCCGGUUAUUGCUUGCCGAUGUCAGAGAAUUCUAAAUCAGAGCAGGUCACGCUCAGUGUUCCGAUGGGGGUCGUACGUAUUCAACGACUUCUGCUUCCCNNNNNNNNNNNNNNNNNNNNNNNNNNNNNNNNNNNNNNNNNNNNNNNNNNNNNNNNNNNNNNNNNNNNNNNNNNNNNNNNNNNNNNNNNNNNNNNNNNNNCUCCCGAGGUGCGGUCGCCGGUGCCGCACGUGAGGAACUGGGCGCGGGGGACUGCGCCCUCGGUGCGACGUCCACCACGGGUGCUGGCGGUGUGGGACCCUUGGUCUCCCUCGAAGCUGCUGCCUGCUGAAGUAGGAGUUCCUCAAGAUGCUUCAUCCGGACCUCCUGCCGCUGAGCCACCUCAGCCUGUCACUGCGCCGCUGCCGUCUGCUGCACCAACAGAUCGGUGAGAACCGCCAGCUGGGCCCUCAAGUCACGGACCUCACUGGAUCUGGAAGUAGCGGAGGUCUCGACCUCCUCGGGGUGUGCCGCAUCAUCCGCCCCGGCAGACUGGGAGCGUGUAACCGGCAUCGUCACUACAAACCAUAAGAGCGCAAGUUAGUAACCCACGCUAUCGCACCCCCGCUCAAAUAGAUAAAUCCCAAAUCAUGCGAAAGUAGGAAGUGUCAUUCACUACUAAGUCCCGAUGUUACGUUGUCGGCCGCCAACGUAACCCUCCGCGAAGUUAGAAGCCAUACACUCCGAUCGAACUCUAACUUUUUAGAGUUAUCAUAAACCCAAUCAUAAUACUUUCGCUAACAACUCAAUUAGAUCUCGUCUCUCACGAGCCUAAUUCCUAUAUUCCAACCGGCCUAAGGUUUGCUAGGUCCACUAAGACUCAACCCUAGGCUCUGAUACCAAAUUAAUCUGUCACGCGCCGGGACCGGCGGAGGCCCUCCCGGUAGCGCGCCCAAACCCGCCAUAUGUCUACACAUAUAAGGCAUCUACAAUAAAAGUGGAAGUAAAGCAAGAGAUAGAAUAAAUAGAAUGAAUAGCAACUAAUGAUAUCAGAGCAAGUAAAGUUCUAUCAUCUAAACCAGAGUAAAAGAAACAUAUCUAAACAAUAAAAGUAACCAUAAGUAAUACAAUAUCUGUCUCAAAGGUACACAAAAGGGGAGGUCUCUAGUACACUGGUACAGCUCUCAACCUCUCCAAAAAGAAAUACAUUGAGAGGUAGACCACCUAAACUCGUCACUCGUUGAAGGGCUAACUCGAAGCAGCGCCCUUCCCACGGUCCCUAGCCUCUCCCGGCGUGGAAAGCUCUGAAAGAAAUCAUGAAACAGAGGGCGUGAGAACUAUAAUUUAUAGUUCCCAGUGGGCAAUUACUGACCUCAGCUCAAUGCACCACUAGGCCCCAAAAGGAAAGGGUAAGUCGAAAGCAAUAGUAAUAACGAGUAAUUCACAUUUAUGAAAGCAUAAUGAAAAUGCUAAACUAUUACUUGCAAUUAAACAUGGCAUUUAUGUAAUGCACAAUUAUCUUGUCAUGAAGGAUAUGUCUCUACUUAGCCAUAAAUAAUGUCAUGGUUUGCUUAAUGAAAUUAUGAGGAUUAUCCUUUAUCAUAGCAACAUUGUAUAUAUGAAUGCAAAUAAGCAAUGUCUCCUAGCAUACUACAUGUAUGUAUGUAUACCCAAAUGUCCAAAUCUAUGCUAGAAGCAAGUCCGAGUAAUCCAACUACUACUCUCUAUCUAGUAGUGAUUAUAACAAACUCAUCCCGUGUCGAUUUUCAUUUCCAAUUAAGGACCUACCCAAGGUAGUCCAGCUUGUGCCGCCUAAGUGCCUGUGGUAGCCCAACAUCCCUACUCUUGGAAUGUGUCUGUCCCACUCGACCCCGUAGGCUUCUCAAUACCGCACGAGCGAACAUAAGUCGCGUAGGCUAACUCCGGAGUGCCGGCUUGUAGGGAGCGACCCUCACAAGCAUGUGCGAAUGAGCACAAAUGGCAAACAAGCAAGGUCAAUGUCUCAAAUAUCCAAUCAUCAUGUCUCUAACAUGGCAAUAAUCACUAGCAUCUCGAAGAUCUAGUUCUAUGUCACAAUGUGAAAUUCUCAUAUUUACUAAGUCUAGUGCCCCUUUAUGACACUUAGACAUUUCGAUGUACAAGCAUGUUCCAAUUCUCUCAAUGGCACUAUCCACUAGGUUCGCACAUGACCGAGCUCAAUGCCCCUUUAUGACAUUAGCCCAAUUAUUCACAAGUAGUACAAGUCCCCAAGCCUCUUUAUGGCUUACUAAGGUUCUGAUGUCACGAUUAGGCAUAAAGGUUAAAUGCAUAAUAGCAAUGUCCAAUUUCAUAAUGGGAAUCAUAGUUCCAAAUCUCAACUAGGAUGCUAUAUCUCACAUGCAUGCACUCUACCACAUAGAGGUCCAAAAAUUUACUAUACAUUACAUAUGCAUGUUAAGCAUUCAAAAAUUCAUAAUAAAUGUAUCUAACAUGAUUAUGCAUGCUUUUCCAUUUUACAACACUUAAAACAUCAACAAUGAGAUUUUCUCAUUGUGUGGCUAGGUCAAACCCACCGAACCGUCGCGUGCUCCUUCGAUUCGCCGAACGGGGUUGUCCACGAGUCUCAAAAUACCCUAAAAGUAUUGAGCGAAGAGAUACACGGGCAUUACGAUCAACUAUAAGAUCAAACUUUAACAAACUUAGCAAAAGGGCUAAAACUCACCUAAUGUGUAGGAAAUCUCUCUCAAGCUCCAAAAGGGAGCUAAAUCCCUUCCAAUCCAAGCCCAAGGAAGGUUCUAAUCCAAACAAUCUAGCUCCAAAAGCCCUAGAUUUAAAAUGCCCAAAAUCAAACCCUAAGUAUCAAAUCUAGGGUUCCAUCUCAAAAACUUAGCAAAACAUGGAACAAAAGCUCAAAUCAUGUUGCUAACCUCUCUAGAAGUCUCAACUUGGGCUCCAAAUCAAAUGGGGUGGAAGAUCUUUCCUCCAACAAGCCUCUAUCAAAGCUCCAAGUCCUCUCCAAUGGCGAAAAAGCCUCCAAGAUGCAACAAGAAGCAAAAUGAGGCAUUAAUCCUCAAAAAUCUCUAAUAUAACCAAGGAAAAUAAAAAGGAGGGAAUGGAUGGGCUCCUCACCUUGUUUCCCUGUGGUUCCAGCACAAAAAAAGCUCUAAGGGGCGUGGGUGCUGUUAUAGAGAGGCUACAAUCGCGAAAAAUUUCCUGCAGUUUCGAACUGCUCAAAAUCUGCCGCCUUGUACCGGUACACGGGCCCUUGUACCGGUACAAGGCCCACGAAAUCCAAACCCGAGGCUCGGGUUGCGGGGUUCAGUUGCUCUGUACCGGUACAAGCCCGAUGGCUGUACCGGUAUAAGACCUCCAGUAAGCAAAUCCGAGAGCUGACGAAAAUCCGAUUUUUUUGGGUUUUGGUAUACAGCUCUAAACCAUAAUUCUCGGGACACGUGCCAUAGGUCGGAACACAGUCAACGACUCACCAGAAAAUCUGAAAAAGCUCAGAGCACAGCCAAUCACUCGAACCUCGCAAUUUGCAAAGGUCCAGUGUGUUACAUUGCUCCUCGAGGCAAAUUUGGGCAACUUCGUUUUUCGAUUCAUCAUCGCUAGAUUCGUCGGGGGCGUCCCAAUUUAGUGCAUUGAAGGCUUUCUUUUUCUUAUCUUUCUUAAAAGUUUUGUUUGGAAGAGUGCAUUCACUUUUUAAAUGUCCCGGUUUAUUACAAUUAUAGCAAAUGAUUCCUUUCUUGAAUCCUUCACCUUUGAACCCGUCUCGUUUAGGUCUCCUCAAGUUGCGCUUCUUGAUUAGUCGAUCGAGCCUUUUUGAAAUCGUAGCGAUUUCUUCACUCGAACCUUCUUCGCCAUCUUCACUCUCGGAAGUAAUGACUCCCUUAAGUGCAAGGCUUUUCUUUUUCUCAGGAGCCUCUUCGUUGUCAUAUUCUUUGAGGCGUUGUUCAUGCGCCAUGAGUGAUCCAACAAGUUCAUCAAUUUUUACUUUGUCCAAGUCAUGAGCUUCUUGGAUAGUCGUAACCUUAGGUAUCCAACUUCUUGGUAGUACACGAAGAAGUUUUCGUACCAAGUCCGAUUGAGGAAAAUCCUUACCUAAGGCUUUCAAGCUAUUUAUAAUGUUAGUAAAUCUUGUGAACAUAUUCGAAAUGGAUUCACUUUCCUCCAUUUUGAAUAGUUCAUAGUUUGACAUAAACAUGCUUAUUUUAGAUUCCUUCUGUAAGGUACCGGACUUCAAAAAUCAUGAAGUUACGGUGUACAUUUGGUUGGAAAGCCAUUUGAAUCGUCCCGGUGAAGUUCGGUGAGGUUCGGGAGCAUUCGGGCGUUUCGGUGCGCGUAGGCACGGAAACGGGACCCGAAAGGCUAUGUUGGUCCAUGGACUAAAUCCGGCAUUAGCGUGGAUGAAAAGAUGAUGAAAACACGCUUGAAAACAUGUUUGGAAAGUUUCGGUUCGAUUUGAAAAGAAUUGGAGGUAAAACGAAGGAAAACCGACGAAAACGGGCGAAAAUGCUGAAAAUUUGGCUAAGUCCUUGAGGCUGAGUUCUGGACCUUCGGGGACCGGUCUCUCAGCCAAGGACUGGUCUCUCAUCGUAAGGACCGGUCCCCGAACGCGAAAAUGCCCAUUUUGGGCUGUUGCGAGAAAUGCAUUGUUGAGGGGUUUUUAUGCAAUUUUGCACUCAUGUGAGUGUAUAGAUGAGGGAAAUAGGUCUUUUCUCUCUUCCCUCUCAUUCUUGCAACCCCAACACCAUCCCUCUCUCUCUCUCUCUCUAAAUGAAAAAGAAAAGAAAGGAGAAAAGAAAAAAAAAAAAAAGGAGAAGAAGAUGGUGGAGAAGAAGAAAAGCAAGGUGGAGCUUCAUCUUCUCAUCUUCUUCCUCUCCAUUGGGCUAGCUUACGAGGUAAGCUUGCUACUCCCUUUAAUGGUAGAUCCCUAGGUAUGGGGUUUUGAUCUCUAGAAAUGGUUUAAUUGGAUUCCUAGCAUGCUAAAUAGGUGAUAAACGCUCGAAUCUAGAGAUUUAAAGAUAGGUUUUUGCCUAAUUGGAAUCUAGGGCUCCGAAAUGGGAUUUUUGUAAAUAUAGGGGUUUGAUCUCAUUUAGACCUCUGUAAACCUAAUUGCUAGGUAAACAAACGCGUUGGCGAAGUUGGUUCGGCGAUCUGUCGAGCCGUUAUAAAGAUAGUGAAGAAACAAGCGAUUUAGCUUCGUUUCCGCCUGGAGGGCCGAGGCGACGUCGUAAAAUCGUGGAAAUGGAUUUGGAGCACCGUGGCACAUAACCGAAGACCUAUAAUUUUCGGGGCUGCGAAGCGGAGCACGGUUGAGGAGCAGUUGCAAUAUCGGGCCGUGUCGGAUACGGGUGCCGUGGGAGGCCGAUUGCAAGUGUCGACAAGCAAUCGGAACGCGAGUUAAGGUGGGUUGUGUUUACCGAAGCGACUAGGUCGCCUUUAUGUCUAAGAAAGUUAAGAAUUCAUGUUGAUGCAUAUAAAUGUAAAUGAGGCAUGUAAAUGAUGCAUGUAGCUAAUGCUAAUUAGUGCAUAUUGGUAAUAUGAUGCAAAUGCUAAGUAAAUGCAUAUAAAAGAUAUAGAGAUCAUAGAAUGCAUAAUGAGCAAGUACAUAAUACUAGAUAAUUGCAUAGAUGCAUGAUUAGUAUUGUGAGAUUAUGUAUGCAUGUGAACUAGAUGACAUAUGCAUUUAAAAAUGAAUGUUAGAUGAAGUGCGUACUGAUAUAAGAUAUCAUGCUAGAUUCACAAGAUAUGAACUUGGUUGAUAACUCUAAAUUGAGUAGAGCACUCGACAAUGGGAAAUGGUAAUGUAGAAUGCUUAAUUGAACAAUUAGCAAUGUGAACUAGAUCGAGUGGCAUCUAACCUAGUGUUAAAGAACAUAGGUUGUGAAUGAAUCUAGUCAUAUGAACUAGAUCGAGUGGCAUCUAACCUAGUGUUAGUAAACAUAGGUUGAAUAGGAAUGAUAUCGAACCUAGUAUUAACAAACAUAGGUCGGACAUAGUGAUAUUGAACCUAGUGUCAGUGAACAUAGGUUGAACUAGUAAACCUAGAGUUUUGUAAACUAGGUUGUGAUAUAGUAAACCUAGAGUGGCGUUGAACCUAGGUUGUUGAGUAUAGUGGUAGCAACCACUAGGAUGCUUUAGGUCGACAGCAUAGGGUUGGUUAUGGACCCUCGACCUGUGGAAGUGGAUUCCGGAAUCCCAGGACCUGUGAUGACUUUGGUAUCAAGGCUAGGGCGUGUGCGACGACUUCGCCGCCGAGGUUGAUACCAAGGAUGGAUUGGGGGUAAAUGUGCAGAGAUCACCGCCCGGGGCUUGAACCAUUGUCGUGGCGUAUGCGACGAUUUCGCCGCCGGAUGGUUAAGCCAGUUUGUGGAUUAUGCCGCCAGAUCGACUCUAGCCAUUGUUGGGUGAGGUGCGAUUCGUUCGCCACCAGAUGGCCAAGUCAAGGGACUUGAACCAGUGUUCGGCGUGUGCGACGACUUCGCCGCCAGCUGGUUAAGUCUUAGAGGGCGGCCAGUGCGCGGACUAUUCGCGGAUGAUUGACUCGAGGCCGAGUCGGGUGGUUAGCUUGAUUAGGUUAAUAGAAACCUUGAAAGCUAGUGAUAAAGGUAAGAGCUAAGGUAAUAGAGACCUUAGAAGCAAGUUGAACUUGAGUUGUGGUGAACUAAGGUAGUAGAAACCUUAGAGUCAAAUAACAUAAGCUAAGAUUAGCAGAGUUAAAUGUAGAAUCAAUAGAUCUACUGAAUGGUUGCUUAAUUGCAUAGAACUGCAUAAUAUUCAUAUUGCAUAUUGUGAGGCAUGUUAUCUGUUAGUUGCAUAGUAAAACUAUGAUAUAUAUCUAUAGAUAUUUUUGGACUAACAUGAUUGCAGUGCCUCCUUAGACCUUUUGGUCGAGCUUUUUCCUUGGGUGGUCGUACUCACUAGGAACCAUGGAGUUGGUUCUCACCCCACGUUGUUUUGGGGUGUUACAGGUUCGCACGUGAGCGGCGCGGCGGCGCGAGGAAAUGGCGUAGCUCCAUAGAUAUCCCCCUACCUAGAGACCAGAACUAGCAGUACCCCAUCGACAUAGCUUAGGGGUAUGGGGAAUGAAAAGAAUACAAUGUAUCAAAUUGUAAUAAGUAAACGAUGUAAUAACUUAGAUUGUAUUUGGAGGAAUCAAAUGAGGAACUGUGAUGUAAAAAUGUAUGAAUGUGAAUGCAUGUAAUAACAUAGGAUGUGUUAUGUUGUUGAUACCUUCCUUAUGCAAUCUGUUUGUUGAGUACUGUUCUUUGUUGGAACCUUUGUAUUGUAUUGAUUGCGAUGCCUUGAAUGUGCAGGGGAAACUCUGUCCAUAGUACAGGGGAAACCCUGUCCAUUCGGCGCUGUUGGCGCCGCGACCUCGGCCAAAUAGGCGGGUGGUCGCGGGUCGUGACACCUGCACCCUAGAAGUACCUUCAUGAGUAACUUCUAAUUUAUCCCAAAUCUCUUUAGCCGUUGUGCAUGUAGAGAUUCGGUGAAACUCUUCUCUACUAAGAGCGCAAAGGAAUGAAUUGAUAGCUUUAGCAUUCAAUUGAAAGCGAAAUUUUUCGGCUUCAUCCCAUUCCGCUCUUGAUUUUGAUGGAGCGAUAUAACCACUUUCGAUUAUAUCCCAAAUAUCAAAAUCUAGAGAUUGAAAGAAUAUCUUCAUUCUAAUCUUCCAAAAAGGAUAAUCAGUUCCAUCAAAAAAUGGUGGCCGAACAAUAGAUUGUCCUUCGAUAUUCUUUCCCGUGGAUGCCAUUCUCACUUAGAUUUUAAUCUAAAUAAUGUGAGACCUCGCUCUGAUACCAAUUGAGGAUCAAAAUGGCAACCUAAGAGGGGGGGUGAAUUAGGUUUCAAAAUAAAAAUCCAAAUAAUUAAGCAAAUUAAAAAUCCGAUGCAAAUAAAAAUGAGGAGUUUAAAGAAAUGCAAACUCGAAAACCACACGAUCGAUUUGUUUCGAGGUUCGGCACUUUGCCUACGUCCUCGCCAACCUCUCAACACUAGAGAAUGUUGGAUCUCCACUAGAUGAUGCUUUUGCGGGCAAGCACCAAGCCUUCACACCAACUCUUUCUUUUCAAGCUUCAAGACUUUGAUUUUCUCUCUUUUUACAAGAUUAAAUCUCACUACAAAUUUCACUCAAGUAUAGAGAGAGAAUUGAGAGCUAAGAGUAUUAGAGACACUGAAUUUUUAAGCUCAAAAUGAACUAUCUAGUUGCUGCUUAGAAAGGCCUCAAUACCAUCUAUUUAUAGCCUCGAGCAGCUUUUGUCCGUUGUACUUUCGGGCGCCCUAAACCUGUUUCCGAGAGCCCAGAAGUUGUGCACGCAAGCUGCCUGUCAGACCACGUGCGCCGCUUUUCUUGACUUUGUAUGUUCGGGCCGUCAAAAGUUGUGGGCGCCCAGAACACGAGGAACAACUUUUCUGACACGCGCCGCUUCCUCUGGAUUUGGGCCAUCAGAAAUUGUGGGCGCUCAGAUCUCGAGGGACAACUUUUUCUGACAGCCGGAUUUUCCUAGAUUCGGGAUCAUUUUGGGCUUCCAGAACAUGUGGGUGCCCAGAUUUUCAACGCGCGCGCUGCCUGCGUCAGAACUUUUUGGGCUGAUAUGCAACCUGUCAAGUCAAACACUUUCGGUCGCCCUAAACUGAAAUUGGGGCGACCAGAUCCGGUAAAGAAGUUUCUGAACCACCCGAACAGCAAACAGGCAUGAUCCAAAAAAUCUCAUGAGAUUCGGAUCCACUUUAGGGCACCCGGAACAGGGUCCAGAAAUCGCAACUUGACAGAACACAGAAUUUGAGCAGUUUUUGAAUAUUUAAAAAUCCUAUGCACCUAAUUAGAAGUUAGAAAAUGUUUAAGUGAUCUAUAAGGUGAUAAGAUGAAUAGUUUUAAACUUAGCUCAAAAUUUCUCACUCUAAUAGAGCAUCAAAUAAAGAAUAGAGAGAGUGAGUUUGUCUUUUUGACAAAGAAAGCAGAAAUAGCUUCAAGUGGUGAGGCUCGGUGCUAGAAGAUUGCCCAUCUUGAGUCCUUUUUGAAGAUAUAAAGAUCUAAAACACAAAAACUCAAGAUAAAGAAUUAGUCCAAUAAUCGUAAUUAUUUGUUAUCAUCAAAAUCUAAAAGAUUAGGGCCACUAGGCCAACAGUAGGAGUGUUUAGCUGUAUUUUGGUUGUUUUGUUAGUUUGUGCUAAUUUUGUGGACCAAGUAAGCUGUUCGUUAGUGGGCAAAGUGUGAAGCUCCAGUCUCGAGUUUGUAAUUUUUUUUAAGCAAUUUCAGUUUCUAAAAAAAGGAGAGAAGGUUCCCUUCCAAAAAAAAUAGCUUUUGCUUUCUAUUCUCCUUUUUUCUUUGAGAAUCAACAGAAUUAAAACAUACUAAACUAGAAAAAAUAGUAUAAGCAUGAUUAAUUUUAUCUUUGCAUCUUUAAUUCGGAGAUAGUAGUGGUUAAACUCAAAGCUGUACAUAACUUACAAAAAUUCAAUUUAAAUUGAAUAGCACUCAUUGGAGCAGACUCUUCUCUUCUAAUGUGCUUAAUCCCACAUUCUUAUUUUAUUCUUUGGAGAAAGCUCCUCUAGGGAGGAACAAAUCAAUCAAGACAUAGAGGAAUCACUCUAUUUGGUUAUCUCUAAUUGAUAAGUCUAUAGAUUAUUUUGAAAGACACAAUAAAAGUAUUGCUACUGCCACUACUAUCAUGUCCAGAGCUACAGCGUAAACCUUUUCCGGAAUACGCACAGACACGCUGUGACGCACUGGACCUUGCGAAUUGUGGGGUCCGAGUGAUUAUUUGUGUUUUGAACUUUUCCAGACUUUCUGGUGGGUCGUGGAUAGUGCUCCGACCUAUGGUUCGAGUCCCGAGAAUUGUGGUUUAAAGCGGUGUACCAAAAUCCAAAAAGUCGGAUUUUUGGUCAGCUCUCGGGUAGCCUUCAGCGGGCUGCGUACCGGUACGGGCUCGCUUGCUGUACCGGUACGGGCUCGCUUGCUGUACCGGUACGGGCUCGCUUGCUGUACAGGUACGUGGUGGUGUACCGGUACACAGACCAUUUCCGAGCAAACCCGAGGCUCGGGUUUGACUUUUCGUGGGUGGUGUACCGGUAUACAAACCCGUGUACCGGUACACAGUGCAGAGUGGGCUGUUUUCGUGGAGGGGUGUUUUUGCAAUUGUUGCAACCCUUUAUAAACAACCAACCCCGAUGCCUUGAGAGCUCUUUGACCCUACACCAGUGUAGAAAAGAUGAGAACCUCCUCCCUCUAAUGUUUCCUUCUCCUUUCUUGUGUUUGCGAGUUUUUAUCUCUUCGCGUGCCCUUCUGCUUUUGUGGUUCACACAUUGGACUGAAUCUGUGAUACUUGGUGAGCUGUGGUUUGGACAACCUGCAACCGCUAAGAGGACUCUAGCUGGUUGAAGCUUCUAAGAUUUGUAGCUAUUCCCUCUAACGAUUUUUGGAUAUCACUAGAUCAACACUAAUUUUGAUUUAGGGUAAUUGGGGAUUUUCGUUUUGAGGCUGACCAAAUUAUGUGUAGAACCUUUGUUUAGGUUAAUGGAAAGCUCUACUCCCAUUCUGAGAUGUGAGAACUCCCUUCGCAAUCGUGAUCUCGUCUACCCUUAUGCCCUAUACGCUUAAAGAAUGAACAUAGGUCAUCGUCGACUAAGAUGACACUUGGUUUCUAUCCCUGCGUACUAGGACCUGAGGACAACCCUCAACGUUGAGCCACGAGGAUUCUCCGUUCAUCGUGGGUUGCUUCGUGGAAGGCACAAUGGCCCAUAUCUCUUUCUACUUCGUAAAUUUAUUAUUAAGUUCAUUUCUAGAAUGGAAAUUUAUAUGAAUUUAGAGCACUUAAAACUGCAUCCUUGUAAUUAUAAAAUUUCACUUAAGUAGACUAUAUAUUAAAUGCAUGGCAUAGUGAAAAGUGUUUAAUAUGCAAUGAAAAAUACAUCCAUAGAUAGACUUGAUUAUGUCCUUAAAUAAUACUGCCCAUGUUUUACCAUAAGAACAAGAAUGUCUAAAGGGCACUGCAAACAGUAAAAUAUAAAAUGCAACCUAGAGACAUAGAAUAGGCCAUUUGUAACAUCUGCUAUAUCAAUUGCCAUGUUAAACGACUGAUGACUAGGAUAGCCUUGAGACUUCAUAAUAUUCCAUGUUAAUUAAACAUUAGCACUUGUCUAUCAAGAUCGUUUGACUACUUGCCACUUGUUCUAUCGCACAAGCUUGUGAGGUCGCUCCUACAAGCCGACGUCCGGAGAGGCAUCGCCGAUACAUAAUUCGCCGUCGGAUGCGACGAAGGGAUGCCGUGGCAGCUCAUUCCAGUGGCGGAUUAUGACUACCCACGGGGCCAUUACGCGCACCGCGGCCAAUAGCAUCGGGUGGGCCAGGCCAAGACACCUUUCGCCGGUGUUCUAUAUUCGACCUGAGAGUCGUAAUGACAUGUGACAGUGACUGACUAGAGUAAUGACAUUGAUAGAAUACGUAAACAAGAACUUUACUAAUCGCAUGUGAACAUUAUGAAGUUAGACUUUUACAUUCAUCAUAUUCUCCAUACUUAUGCUAUUUAUGCUAAAUAGAGAUAUCAUUUGUAGUAAGCUACAAUUUACUUACCUUCUGUUCUACAUUAUAGUCCACUAACCACGCCCCCCCCCCUCCUUGUACUUCCCUUGGUGGCACUUCACUGAAUCAUAAUUGCCCACGGAACUAUUCUAAUAUCUCACCCCCUGUUCUAUUUCUUUCAGAGCCUUCUGCACUACGGGCGAGGCACCGACGCUGCAAAUGGAUCGCUAGCCUAGCUAUGAGGCUACGGUAACCUUGGCCUAGUGGUUAUACUCCUUUCUAUUGUGAGUAGAAGAGUGAGAGAUUUCUGAUCCAUGUAUAGAGACCACCGAUUACCUACUUUUAGCACUUGCUUCUUGGAUUUCCUAUUAUUCUACUUAUUCUUAUUAUGUUCACGUUUACACCUUAUCCUUAGCUGUAGCAUUAACAUUAUAUCUCUGAUCACUCUAAUUCUGAUUAGCGUUUAUAUUGUUUUUUAGAACCCUUAUCGUUAGACUAUGCGCUCUCGCAGUCGCGCGGGGCUUCGCUGGGUCUGGCUACAAUUACAUUGCUAUCCAGACUAGGGUUGAUCUUAGGACAUAAUGAGCAAAACCUUAGGCGUUGGACAUAUAGAAAUAGCUCGUAGAGACGAGCAUCUGACUUGGAGCGAAAGUACAUGAUUGGCUGUUAUAUAAUCUAUAAAAUUUAAGUUGAUUGAGUCAAUGCCUCUAACUUCGCGAAGGUUACGUUGCGCGACAACGAACACGGAUUAGUAGAAGCAACACUUCUUACUUUCGCCAUGAUUGGGUUGCUAUUUGAAGGCGCCGACGAUAGCGUGGUUCACUGACUACGCCUUAUGACGUUGAUGACGAUCCAGAUUACUCGCUCAAUCCUGCCGGGUGAGCAAUGGCAACUUUGAGGAGUCGAGACCUCCCCGCUACCUCCGAUACAAGCGAGUCCGUGAGUAGGCACUUCGCCCUUCACUAUUGGUUACCAGCAGCGGAGGCGCCCGAAGCAGACAGGCGCGCGCCGACAGAUGCGGGAUGAAACCAUGGAGACCUACUAUGCACACGCACUUCCAGGAGACGCAGGGCCCCACACCCGCCAGCACCAUUGUGGACAUGGCAUGGAGAGCUGCCGUCCCCCGUCCCGUUCUCGCCGUCGGCGCCUCGCGGCCUUGACCCCAGAGGAGGUUGGCGGCGCAUGUGCAGAGGCCCCCGGUUAAGCACUUUCCAUACCUUGUGAGGGCGGAGAAGGAAUGACGCAUGAGCGCCUCAAUGAGUUCAGGAGUGCAGCCCCCGAACGUCUCUCGACGCAAAGCCGGUGACCCACGAUCCGUGGAGAAGUGUUGAUGCAUUUGAGAAGCCUUCACACACCUCGUGGAGGAGAGACAGAGUUGUCCGCUCACCACCACUGGAGACGGCCGCCUACCGCGUGGACUUUCAGAGCACCCGCAGCAACUGACUUGGCCAAUCUAUCAUUGGAAAGUUCCAAACUUCUUUGGACUCAUAUCCUGGCCAUCGUCAAGCGGAAGCAUAGGACAGGAUCUGCCAACUGCGCAUGGCACAGACUGUACCGAUACGAGAGGGAAUUUCUCCGACUUCUGCAUUGGCGGCCCUGUGGCGGACGACGAGGACAAGCCCUCAUCUUCGACAGAGGGUUGCGACCGUCGAUUCCGGGUUUGUCAAUCCCUAACCUGGUCCCAAACCUUACCGGAGGGUGGACGCGCGCAAUAUCAUUACCGUGAGAACGGCGCACGAAGGUCCAGAGCAUGCGUGAGCUAGAACAGAAGGCCUCAAGAGCCUGCGGCUGAGGUGCCAGCCAACUCACUCUAGAGGCCGCCAAGCAUCCGAGAGCCAUCAGCGUACGUCGCGAGCACACAUCGAGGAGGAUCCCGAUCGGCCCGGCCUUACCCGUGUGUGAUCUGCGUCGUCCCCAAUUAUCCACCCGAGUGUCACAGGACGGGCGGCAAUGCUUCCAUUCCAGGAGGGCAACGUCCUACCGGACUUGCACCGAGAGGCUCUUCACCGCACCGUCGCACGCAUCGGCACCGCUCUAAUCAUGUCGCGUCAGCCAGACCCGUCGACACACGUGUACGACCGCGGCGCCACACCGUCACGCCUGAGUGAGUAUCGCGACCGGCCUCCAGUGGCGCGCAGACUGGCCGCCAGACCGAGAAGCGCAGCACCGAGGCAUUGCCAGGUAUCAUAUUACUUGAUGCAUUAGAGUCGUGCUUAUUUGAUACUGGUGCACACACUCAUCAUAGAUCGCCUGUUGCCGAUGCAUGCAUACCUUUAGUUCCUUGUUGCCAUACGGACAUUAGUUGUACCGAGCCAGUUGGACAUUAAAGAGUAGAGCCCCAGGGUUGCCACAUUGGAUGCAGAUUAUUAGCCGAUAGAUUGUAUCUUUCGCAAGACUUGGUGAAUUGAUGUUGUUUGGCAGGAUUUGACCAAGUAUAUGCACUGAUUGAAUGCAAAAUCGCAUCUACUCUUAGAAAAAGAACCUGGCACCACCGAGGGGUAUUUUGUGGAUCCAAGUUCGCCGUGUUUCGAUACGAUCAGCCUGCCGGGAGCAGGCAUGAUUAUUAACAGGUUGUGUAGCCUAUUUGCUAGUGUGUGGCUGAGGCGAAAUAACACCCUAGAUUGAUGAAUAAUCCGGUUGUGCGCGGAGUUCCAGGACGGUUUCCAAGCUGAGGCUACCGUAUCCUCCUUAUAGGAAUUGAUUCUAUUGGAGAUCUCGUCCCUGGACUACCCCAAUCUCAAAGGCACACUAUAGGAUGGCACCCGGAGGCAAGACUAAGGACUGAGGCAAGCUGCAAAGGAUUUGUUGAACAAAGGCAUCAUUCACCGGCGUUCACACUGGAACACCCGUGUUACGUCAAGAAUAAAGACGGAUACUUCGCCCUUUGUGUGGAUAUCGUGAAACUGUAAUAAAGGUCACGAUCAAGAACAAUAUCGUUGCACGAUGACACGCCUGUUUAUAAAUUUCAGGAUCAUGUGAUACCAAGAUCGAUCCUUACAUCGAACCCACCGAGUCUAAAGAUUAAGCCUGAGAUUAUCGAAGACGCUUUAACACGAUGGAACAUUAUGAAUUUCACAGAUAUGACGUUCGCUUACAAUGCCGCCCGCAAGCUUUAGGAUCCUAAUGAACCGGUUUCUAAGCCUUAUCUAACAGUUCGUCCGUGGUUUCAUCCGACGACUUUGAUUUACUCUGAAAUGAUCAGAUCACGAGAGCAUUGAAAAUUGUAAUCUCCAAGUACUUCGGAAAGAGCUUUACCAAGUUUGAAAACUGUGAGUUUGGCUUCGAGAGUAGCUGUCCUCGACACUUGAUUUUCGUGAUUCGGUAUAUGCCUUGACUCCAAAAGAAACAUCCAAGAUUGCCGAGACUGACGACGUAACCGAGAUACGACCUUCCCCGGAUUGCCGGUGACUACGGAAUACUCUUGAGGAUUUGCAAGGUUAUCUCCUCCGCUCACGAGCUCACGGCAUAAAGGAUUCAAGUUCAUUUGGAAUGACGCGUGCGACGAAGCUUCCAAAGGUAAGCAGAAUUGACGACCGCCCGCAUCUUGACCACCAGUAGCUGGUGCGGGGUAGUUGGUUUUAUAUGAUCCCUAAUGGAUGGCUUGUAUUAUGCAGGAGGAACGUGAACGCGUAUGCUUCUCACAACAAAGGAAAUAAGAAGAACUACCCGACCGCAUGAUUGAAUGGCGCUCGUAGCUGUCCAUUGAAACAAUGGCGCCACUAUCUUAUGGCCGAGCGAUGUGAAGAUUACACGGACAACAAGAGCUUAAAGUACCUAUUACUCAUAAAGAAGUUGAACUUGAAGGCAGCGCAGAUGUUGAGCUACUCAAAGAUAGAUCUGACGAUCCUUUACCACCCAGCAAGGCUAACGUUGGCGGAUAGCGCUAAGGUAGGAAAUCGAUGGAAAACUUAGCGAUGCAGGUGACCAACCGCAUGAUCGAGCAAGUAAGCGGUUUGAAUGAGAGUUACUCUGACACACAUCCCUUGAAUUGAUGACCUUAGUAGUGCAAACCUACCUUUUGCUGAUAGAAUAAAGAUAAGCAAACUUCCGAUGAGGCAGUUGCCAAAAGAUCGAGUAAAAUGGUUGAGGUUCAUAACACGCGUAAUUCCUUGGACAACGUAGGUUAAUGCGCUUCGAGGACACUAUGUUUUCCCGGACUCGGGAAUUAAAAAGACAUUCUCAAGAACGCGCACCGGCGCCCUAUGCAUCAUUCCGGAGCAACAAGAGUAUCAUAGGACUAAAUUCUCUAUUGGUGGCCCGGGAUGAAAAAGGACGUUGGCGAGUUCGUAGCUCGUUGUCUAACUUGCCAACAAGUAAAGGCUGAGCACCGAGUUCCCGCGGGGAAACUUCAGAGUUUGCCUAUUCCAGUAUGGAAGUGGGAGAAGAUCGCCAUGGAUUUUGUGACAGGUUUGCCACGCUCUCAGGCCGGGCAUGACGCUAUUUGGGUGAUCGUGGAUAGGUUGACGAAGUCAGCGCACUUCAUACCUAUUCAUACUACUUGGAUUAGAGAGAAGCUCGCACAAGUGUAUCUUGAUGAGAUUGUGCGGCUUCAUAGAGUGCCUACAUCGAUUGUAUCUGAUCGCGACACACGCUUUGUGUCCCACUUUUGGAGGAGUCUACAGGAUGCCUUAGGCACCCGAUUGGAUUUCAGUACGGCAUUCCACCGGCAGAGUGAUGGACAGUCGGAGCGCACUAUUCAGACUUUAGAGGAUAUGCUCCGGGCUUGUGUGAUAGAUUUCCAGGGAGGAUGGUCGCAGCAUCUACCUAUGGCGGAGUUUGCUUAUAACAACAGUUAUCAAGCAAGCAUCAAGAUGGCGCCCUUCGAAGCACUUUACGGACGGAAGUGUAGAUCGCCACUUCAUUGGAGUGAAGUCGGCGAGAGACUGGCUUUAGGCCCUGAUGUGCUCCAGGAAGCUGAGGACAAGGUUCGAAUUGCUCGGGAGCGACUUUUGACGGCGCAGAGUAGACAGAGGAGCUACGCCGAUCGUCGACGGCGAGACUUGGAGUUCUAAGUUGGAGACCAUGUUUUCUUGAAGGUCUUGCCGACUAGAGGAAUCAAGAGAUUUGGGAUUCGAGGAAAGUUGAGUCCCC